UUUCAGCAUAAUACGAUGCUAUAUUAAAAGAGGAGGGCGUGAUUUACAAGCACUGAGCAUCUUUGGAAGUAGGAGCGCUGUGUCAGUGUUUCACCUUCAAAACGACAGAGAAUGUUAACGUAGUAUAAGAGGUACGCAACAUGACAGAUGCACUUUUAUGUAUUCCUGUCACAGGAACAGCUUUCUCACAGCAACAAUGAGUUUGGAGAGCAAAGCAGUAUCUUUUUUUUUUUUUUCAGCAACAGACGAGAAACAGAAUAUUAACUCGACACCACUAUUAUCAUUUUGUGUUAGUAAAAGAAAACCGUUUGCUGUAGGCUUACAUCAGCUUUCUGCAUUGUCUUGUGACUACGCCACGUAUGGAUGGGGAUAAGAUAAGAAUGCAAUUUUGUACCACUCAUGGAAUACAGAUUAGUCUUGUGUUUCUCUAGCCGGUUAACAAUAGCCUGUCAAUACAAUGUCACUGGGUAAUCUCUGAAAGGCCAGCUUGUCUUUACCGAGAUACAUUGUGGCAUUGUUGUUUUAUUUAACUUGUAACAGCAGUGUUGCUAUACCCUUGUUAUAUUGAAAGGUUAAAUAGAGGUAUUGCUAGCUCUAACUGUAGAUUGUACAUUAGUAGCAGUUUAAACUACUUAGGACUGAUAUCUCAUGUAAUUAGAGGAUGUGUUUAUUUAAGUCAUACCAAGCACUGAUAGGUGUAUAAUAUCAAGCACAAGGCAUAUAGCCAUGCAAUCUACAUACAUUGUCAGCAGACUACACAAACUGCAGAGGUCAAUGACUUUCAGCAGAAGAGAAUAAUAUUGUAUUUCCAGUGAGUCCAUGUUUUGUUAUAUUUUUUAUUUGUUUGCCUGAUUACGCUUCCUUGAUCCGCGGUAAGUGAUGGUAGCUUCAGGUGGAUGUCAACAAGUCAUCCGCAAAGUUGUCAACCACACAAUGUCACACAACAGAAAUGUCAAAUGGUAAAGUAAAUGCUAUGUAAAAAUAACCAUGACUCUGAAUUUGGGAAAGCAAGAAUUUUACCUGCCUGACUGCAUAAUGACAACUGUAAGGUCCCAUGCUGGAAGUAUAACAGUCUAGGAUUAUUAGUCAUCGUGGGAAAUAAGUCCCUUGAUGUCCCAAUGAACAACCUAAUCUAAAGCAUACAUUCUAGAUAAUUCUGUGCUAUCAAUCAGCAACAUUGCAUUUAGUUUGCUUUUUGUUUUAAUUCAGUGUAAGAAAGUCACUAUAAUAUCACAUUUUUUAAAUGUUAUUCCUUUUCAGCACUGCACUCCCUUCAGAACUGGCUUCAGUUUCAAUGGAAUUUAGGCUUCCCAAACCUAUCUUUGGUUAGAAACAUUACACGUGGGUUCAAACACAAAUCUUUCAUGCAAUCGCCAUUGCAAUUUAUGUAUGUACAGUGCAUCCUCAGUAUCCAUUUCCAUAAUGAACUGCCACACAUGCACAAUAGUGAGAGUUUUGUAAAAAAAAGAAACUGGAUUCGGGCUGAACACGAUACACUAUCAGUUCCUGCCAGUGAUCUGGCCAUUGUUGUUUAUUCUCUAUACAUUCCAAGACUCUACAUACUUGGCAUCCAGGGUCUUUAAUGUUAUUUUAAUUAUUCAAUAAUCAUCCAAAUUGGCUGCUAUUUGUCAGCUGGUGAGACCUCACUUGGAGUAUUGUACACAGUACUGGAGACCGUAUCUUCAGAAGGAUAUUGAUACCUUAGAGAGGGUUCAGAGAAGGGCUACUAAACUGGUUCAUGGAUUGCAGGAUAAAACUUACCAGGAAAGGUUAAAGGAUCUUAACAUGUAGCUUGGAGGAAAGACGAGACAGGGGAGAUAUGAUAGAAACAUUUAAAUAUAUAAAGGGAAUCAACACAGUAAAGGAGGAGACUAUAUUUAAAAAGAAGAAAAACUACCACAACAAGAGGACAUAGUCUUAAAUUAGAGGGACAAAGGUUUAAAAAUAAUAUCAGGAAGUAUUACUUUACUGAGAGGGUAGUGGAUGCAUGGAAUAGCCUUCCAGCUGAAGUGGUAGAGGUUAACACAGUAAAAGGAGUUUAAGCAUGCGUGGGAUAGGCAUAAGGCUAUCCUAACUAUAAGAUAAGACUAGGGAGUAAUGAAAGUAUUUAGAAAAUUGGGCAGACUAGAUGGGCCGAAUGGUUCUUAUCUGCCGUCACAUUCUAUGUUUCUAUGUUUCUAUGUUUCUAUUUAAUAUUUCCCAUUUGGGUAUUAUUUUAAGGUCAUUGAUAGAGAACAUAAACUGAACAUUAAUACCGUAUCAUUGAUACAUUCUCAUGUUUAGAUGUUAAAAUCUGAGGACUAUUCAUUGAACUAUUUGUACACACAUUUCAAAGUGAAAAUUGUUAAGAUCGGAAUCUUAUUGGAAGUACUGUGAAAAACAGCAGAUAAUUUAUACUAAUACUAAAUAUAGUAUCCACUUCACUUCUUUACAGCAUGUUAAAGUUCACUGCCAUUGUCUAACACAUUCAGAACAUAAUCUAAUUGUUUUAUUUCAACAUAUUUUAUGCCACAUGGAUUUGAAGAAUAAUACCCUAUUAUUCUGGAAAUAGUCAGAAGCGGAUUUAUUAAGUUGUAGUUUACUAUUGGUCUGUUACUUUAUUAUAAACUAAAUACUUGUUUUUAUCUGAGUCUUAAUUAGACACUACAAUUAAUUACAUCUUGAAAUGUGAGAAGUGGCUAAUCACUCCACAAAUUUCAAAGCCACACAAUCUUAAUCUGUUUCUUUUUUCAUUCACUAUGUCACCAAAACAUUCAAUAUAUGUUUUCUAAUUAGUCUUUGAGGGCUAACAAUUUAAUAGCAUGUUUCAAAAUACAGGUUAUAGGUCUGAAUAUUGCUUUGUUCUUAAUGUCACGUUCGCAUAGCUGUUAAAUUCAGCAUGUGUAAAAAGUAAAAAAAAUAUAUUCACAUAUGAGGAUGUGCCAACAUACUUUGUGCACCCAGAUGACCUGAAGUGCUAAGUGCCACAAACCUAGUAAAACAAAUGUAUAUACACGUUUUUUUAAAUUAAUUAGCAGACAUACGCUGAACUGACCUAUCAGCAUCUAUUAUCCCAUGUGUAUCAGAGAAUCAGGGUGUCAAAGUUAGACAUUCCAACACGCAAACAGUGUGGCAAGCUCAGAAGUAUUACCUGGCCUUAGGGUGGCUCGAUUUAAAGGACCACUAUAGUGCCAGGAAAACAUACUCGUUUUCCUGGCACUAUAGUGCCCUGAGGGUGCCCCCACCCUCACAGUCCCCCUCCCGCCCGGCUCUGGAAAGGUAAGUUUUUAAUGGGUUAAGCCUUCCCCCUAAUCCUCUAGUGGCUGUCUCAUUGACAGCCACUAGAGGCGCUUGCGUGCUUCUCACUGUGAUUUUCACAGUGAGAGCACGCAAGCGUCCAUAGGAAAGCAUUGUAAAUGCUUUCCUAUGCGACGGGCUGAAUGCGCGCGCAGCUCUUGCCGCGCGUGCGCAUUCAGCCCAGGAGGAGGAACGGAGCCGGGCGGGAGGGCGGGAGGAUUAGGGGGAAGGCUUAACCCAUUAAAAACUUACCUUUCCAGAGCCGGGCGGGAGGGGGUCCCUGAGGGUGGGGGCACCCUCAGGGCACUAUAGUGCCAGGAAAACGAGUAUGUUUUCCUGGCACUAUAGUGGUCCUUUAAAUCGAGCCACCCUAAGGCCAGGUAAUACUUCUGAGCUUGCCACACUGUUUGCGUGUUGGAAUGUCUAACUUUGACACCCUGAUUUGACUGCUAUGUUUAUAAAAAAAAGGGUUAACCCUAGAAGGACCUGGCACCCAGACCACUUCAUUAAGCUGAAGUGGUCUGGGUGCCUAGAGUGGUCCUUUAAUGUAAUAAUGUAAGGUUAGAAACAAGCCUAGCUCAGGAUAGGAGACAGAUGGAUAAACAAGUAUGAUGAUGCCAAGGGUCAAGAAUAUCAGAAAUCAAAAUAAAUAUUGUCUGUGCACCAAUAUAUAGGACUUUAGAAACUACCUGGAGAUCGUGUUUAUUAUGUUUAAAUGAGUUUCAUACUUUUUAUUUACAUUUUCUUAUAAAAUAGAACCUUUUUCCAAUUAUACACUUUUGCUAUACAAAAGAAACCAACCCUUUCUGGUGAAUAUAAGUGGGAAUUGAAUUACUAAAGAAUUCUGAGAUGUGAGAAUUUGUCUCACACUGUACUAUGACAACUUCACAAGCAGAGAUAAAAAGCAAUAUUGCCAAUAACUGGAAUAAAUUGCUGAUGCCUUUCACCAGUACCAUUUAUAUCUGUUGUAUUACAUUUAGUUUGCUCUAACUGUAUUUUGUGCUGAAGUUGAAUUUUUUUUUUUUUUAUCAGUUUCAACAAUUAUAGCUAUACUUCAUUAUAACCAAACGGAAUGCUUUACAGAAUAUAGAUUUUUUUUUUUUUUGAAUCAGCACAUUUGCUAAUUUGCAAAUCCUCUGAUAAUUUCCUUCAUUUUAAUUGUACUGCAAAAUCACAGCAUUUCAGAAGGAUUCUAUCAAAAUGCUAGGGAUCUGCAUAUUUAGCCAAAUUGUUCGCAGAUCAAUAGUUUUAAAAUCUCUACUAGAAAAAAAAUACAUUUUUCUUUCAUUGUGUUUUAUGAUACAAAUAUGUUUAACCCUUUCAUAUGCAGCUACAGGUUUAUAUGAUUUUUAGAUAAUAAUUAUUACCGACAAAUUGAGAAAUAUAUUAUAAGUAGAACAUUUAAUGAUGCAUUUAGCAUCAAACUGAUCAUAAUUUGUCUGAAUUUUGGGCGAUUAUCAAUUCACCUGAAUUCUGCAACUCUGGACAAAUCAUGAAACAAACAAAAUGGACAAUGGACGCGUUGUUUUGUUUGUAUCAUAAUUCAGAGUUCCAUCUGUGAUACCACAAAAAAGAUGAUUGAGGGUAUAAAAUAUGAUUGAUGGGACAAUGUUGAUUGUAUUCCCAGAUCAAGUGGGGAGUAAUUAACAGUACGAAAAAAAGGAGGAGCUGUAAAAUAAUAUUAAAAAAAUAUUAUAUAUUUAUUAAAUAUUUAAUAAACAUAUAAUAUAUAAAUCUAUAAAUAUAGAUGUUUAUUUUUUUUUUAUUUACACACGAUAUGCGAAUUAUUAAAUGGCAAGAAAAUUUCCUUAUUGGUGUACUGCCAAAUAUAUACAUAAUAUUAAUUUUAUAUUUUCUGGAUGAUCUGCACUUGAGGGUUAAAUAAUCCACAUGUAUGGUGUUUAAUAAAUACAAUCAAAAUAGUGUAUGGCGCUUCACAAUUAAUAUUUCAAGAGUAAUGUAGGUGGAUGAUGUGACUGAUAUAAAAGUGCUUCCCAGUGGCACCAAACAUAAAAAGUCAAAGAUUAACAAAAUAUAAACAAAAUAUACCAGUCUACAUGCACUAUGUGCAUGUAGACUGGUAUAUUUUGUUAAUCUUUGACUUUUUAUGUAUGGUGUUUAGUCCAGCAGGAAUUACAGAAAAUAACAGAGAAUAACACUCUAAUUUAUUCUUUAUAAUUACAAAUAAACUUUUAGUUUAAAAAUAUAUUUUAAAAAAUUUAAAUAAAAUGCCACAUGGAUAAAACAAAAAUCACCUGAUUCAAUUGUUGUCAGGAUUUAUUUAUUUUUGACAAAUUGAUUCAGAUGGACUGAAUUUUUUUUUUUUUUUGCCAUGCACAAAUCUAAUAUCAACAAUGUGACAUCAAUCAACCUCAUAGUGAUUAAUGUUGUUGCAGGAAAUAUUAAAUGAAUAGCUCUUUCCACUGAAUCCCGCUUUCGGUUAAGUCUUGGGAUUUAAUUGUUUAUGAUGUGCCUGAAUAUUGUCAAACUUGAUGAGCAUUUUAUUUUUUUGAAAUGUUUAUUCAUUAUGAGCUCGUCACUAGAGGCCUCAUUACAAAAUCCCCCAACUCAUUGUAUAUCCAUAAGUACAACAUGUAAAAACAGUGUCGUUUUAAUAAAAAAAAAAGAAAAAUAUUCUACUAAAAGGGAUAUAUGACACUUUAAAAUAUCUAAUCCCAAUAAUUUUUUUUAUUUUUUUUAAAUAUUAGUGAAUAAUAAUUUAUGUUGUAUGACACUUUUUUAACAACAUUAGCACUCACUGAUUAUUAAAUGGUACUUAUAAUUAAAUGACAGAAAUGUAAUAUAGAAUAUCAAAGCUAUGGUUUUGUUUUGAGAUACACAAUAUAAGUGUCCUACUGGAUUUGGCUGAGUGAUGUAAGAAAUUAGAUAUUAUAUGGAACCUAUCAUUGAAGAUCAUGUGAAUGACCAAUUAUUGGGAAAUAUACACUCUUUUAAGUUGACUUCCACUUACCUUACCAUUAUGUGCUAGGAAGGACCAAAGCCCCAAACUGCAUGAGUGGUAUACCACAAUUAUUUUAUGUUUGUUGCCGUUGCAUGACUGGUGACUGGGCAGUUGCACAUGUAACCUCUUACAUCAACUGUCCGUUUCAACUGCAACAUAACUUUAUGGCUAUACCAGUGGCGUACACACAAUCCAUGGGGCCCCGGUUUGAAACUGAUCCCCCUCCCCUCCCUCUCUACCCCGAUCCAUGGGCCCCCCCGACACAUACAUACAGACACAGACAUACAUACAGACACACACAAAGACCGGGGUCCGCAAAACAUGGCAGCGGAUACACGGUCGCAGGGAUCCACAGCUGCGACCGUGGUAUGUACACCACUGGACUAUACAUCACAUAGUAACUUGGUUAGUACAAUACAUACCUAAUUAUUUUUUUGCUAUACAGUGAAGACAGUUGCACUUUAGGCAGUUGGCGAAAGAGAGAACUUUAAUUUCCACUUAUUGGAUAUUCUUUACAUCUGCACAUCAAAUGUUUGAUAUAUGUGGGAAAGCCACUGAAAAUGUUAAAGGGACACUAGAGUCACCAAAACAACUUAAGCUUAAUGAAGCAGGUUUGGUGUAAUGAUCUGCAGUCUCACUGCUCAAUUAUCUGCCAUUUAGCAGUUAAAUCACUUUUGUUUCAGUUUAUGCAGCCCUAAGCACACAUCCCUUGGCUGGGACCCGCACAGCCUGCUUGAAAACAAAAAUUGUUUCAUUUUCAAUCAGAUGUUAUUUACCUUCAAAGUUUAUUUUUAUCUCCUGCUCUGUAAAUUGUACUUUAAUUACUUACAUGAGGCUCCUGCAGGGUCUAGCAAGCUAUUAACAGAGCAGGAGAUAAUGAAUUCUAAAUUAAAUAGAAUUUACAAUAAAGAAAGUUUAAACAUUAGAUUUAAUUUAUAUUUACAGGAAGUGUUUAGGUGGUGUAAGUCACGUGCAGGGAGGCAUUACUAGGGAUGUAUAAACAAGGUGAUUUAACUCCUAAAUUGCUUUUGAACCAUAGUUUAAUGUUUACCAUUUACACCCGAUUGGCUGCUGUUAAUGCAAGAUAUUUAAAUGUAAAUGUCUACAAAAAUACAUAAAGCUGCCUCCAAAUGCAACUGUUCUCUUGCUUGUAAAUGGUUUUUAGAAACUGAUAUUAACCAUUUGGGGAAGUGUCAUGAUAAAUGCAGUAAACUUUAACUUUAACAAAUGAACGAGGGGAGCAUGUGAAAGAAAAGAGAUGUUUCUUAAAAUACCUUCUCUCUAACUCUUCUCCAUUAGUUAUAACCUUCUUUUUAUUUCCUGACAUUCAUUCUAUGAUGGGUAUGAUAUCGUUAAGAAAGGAAUAGGAAGUAGAGGAAGGAUGGAGGACCCUGUCAGAAAUAAUUGUUAUAGUGAAAAUGCAAAUGAUUAAUAUCUAGAUUUCCUCACUUCAACCCCCUUUAGCUUGCAGUAAGUGCUUAAAGGAACACUCAAAUUGUAACCAUUUAGUAGAUAUACCUGAUAGGAUAAAAUAUUGUAGUUAAUCUUAUACAUGUACAUUAUUUAAUAUUUUUGACUUUUAAAAUGUUAUUUUUAAAUAUAAAAGAAUAUAUAUAGUGUCUCUGGCACUUAAGGUGUACCAGUUCAGGCCUGCUAUAAUCUAUUGGUUUCUUUGCCUAACCAACACCGCUAACUGCUCAACUAAGUCACAAGUUUACUUUUUUUUUGUUAGCAGACUCACCAGCAACCAUUUUAGAAAAAUAGAUAUUCUAUAUUCUAUAGUGUUCUAUGACACCCGUAGAGUAUGGACAUCUCCCAUGGAAUAUAUAUAAAUGAAAAAAGAACCCAUUAGUUAAAUUCAAUAAAACACUCACAAUUUGGGAAUAAACACAACUCACAAGUGAAGAGCUUCCAAUUCAGCUCUUAGUAAAGGCAUGAAGCGGUAUAUUUCCUGCUCAUGAAUAUUGCUGUAAUUGAGUCUUCUUCCAUAUUUCACAGUGUGGUAAACAUAUGGUGUAAAACAACCGUCAUGGUUGUCAUGUCCUGAUGGCAGCCCUGCUCACACAUUGAGAGUCAUAAAGUAUGCUUUACUUGUUAAUAACCAUGUGGGAUGGGAGACCCAAGCCCUAACUGAGCGUUGUAAAAUAGGUUAAACUAAUUAUCCAAGGAAGUCCUUUGUUCUUAUCACAUGACACAAUAAUCUUGGACAUUCAAAGGGAAAGGCUAGUUCACCCCAUCCCCCUGUGUUAAUAAAAGCUUCAAACAAAAGUUAUGUAUACAUCAUGAGACCUAGUGUCUAUAAACACAUGUUAAAUUGCCAUAAUUCCCUGGAUCUUUCUUAGGGCAUACAAUGCAGCUUAGACUAUAACUAAUGUUCCAAAAUAACACGUUACAUAGAUCAUUCCAUUUGGUCAUAUAUCCAAAAAUAUUAAAUUGUGGCCAUAUAAAGAGACCAGGUUCUAAAUGCUGAAAAAGACUAAGGGUCUUUAUUAUAUCAUAAAUUGUCUAUUACACAUAGUUUAUCAACAUCAAUUUAUAUAUUUCCCUUUGCUUAACAGGAGAAUAAAGUUUCUUUACAUAUAUAACAAAGGUAUAUAGUGAUUUGCAGCACACUCAAAGCAAUAGAAUGUAAGUGGACUAAAUCAUCAGGUAUACAAUGAAGUUUUUAUCACUAGAGCACACAGAGUAUUUCAUGGUAAUAACUAAAGAGACAGGUGCUUUGAGCAUUUCUGAAAAAGGUCUUUGAAAAGACAUAUCUGUAUUAUAGAACAUAAACAGCAUUUAUGUGAUGAACAUAAUGCGAUUCUCAUAAUAUUCUGGAAAUUAUUUAAAGGUCAAUUUCAUCAAAAGAAUAAAAUAACAUGCUUUAAAAAAGAUAAAGAUGUAAUGAUCUUUUCAAAAUAUUAAUAAUUUACAAGGUAAAUAUACUUUGUCAUGUGCUGCCAGAAUGACAAAAGUGUGGGUGUUAAUCUUACACACACAUGACUCCCAAUGAGCUCCCACCCCAUGCAUUGAGAGUGACCCUCAUACAUCUCCAAGCAGUGCAAUCCUUCCCCAUGAUGUCAUGAUGCCCAUACUGACUUAACGGAGCUACAGAGUAAAUCUUGCAAUAGAGAGAAGUACAAUUAAAUUGUGAAUUCUUCUGAGACUUGGUGAUCUAUUCUGAAAAAUAUAGCUUUUGAUAGAAAGUUGAGUUAACCCCUUAAGGACACAUGAUGGAAAUAUUCCGUCAUGAUUCCCUUUUAUUUCUGAUGUUGUGUCCUUUUUAAAAAAAAAAAAAAAUGUUUUAAACUGGUCUGAGUUGAAAUCUGAAAGCAAGUACCAUUCACUUAUUGUUAAAGGGACACUUCACUGCCCAAAUACAAGCGGAAUAAAAAUCACCCCAAAUAAAAACAUCCAUAUAUUUAACCCCUUAAGACCGGAGGGGGUACUAUUAUGCCCUAUUUUAGGUGGCUCUAAACGCCGCCGGGCGUAAUAGUACGCCCUCCGGUCUUUCCUUACUUACCCGGUCACCGGCGGUCCCAUGCCGGCGAUCGCGGUUGGGGGGACUCCCAGGGAGCCCCCCCGCAGCAGAUCUUCCUCCUGCAGUCCCCCAUGAGACCCUAUGGUAGCCCAAGAAUGAAAAUUACCCCUAUGAUGGCAUACCAUUUGCAAUAGUAGACAACCCAAAGUAUUGCAAACGGGGUAUGUCCAGUCUUUUUUAGUAUCCACUUAGUCACAAACACUGGCCAAAAUUGGCGUUUUUUGCAUUUUUCACACACAAAUAAAUACUAACGCUAACUUUGGCCAGUGUUUGUGACCAAAUGGCUACUAAAAAAGACUGGACAUACCCCAUUUGCAAUACCUUGGGUUGUCUACUAUUGCAAAUGGUAUGCCAUUAUGGGUGUAAAUUUCAUUCCUGGGCUACUAUAAAGUCCCAAAGGCAACGUAACCAAUCUGGUGAAUUUCAAUUUCAAAUGUAACAUGCUUUAUUUGACCCUGUAACUUCCCAAAACGCCAUAAAACCUGUACAUAGGGGGUACUGUUUUACAUGUGAGACUUUGCUGAAUACAAAUAUGUGUAUUUUAUUGCAGUAAAAGCAAACAGUAUUAUGACAUUGACAGUUAAAAUGUCAUGUAGAACUAAAAAAAAAUCAAAACAAAUCUUAUUUUCUCCCAUGUUUUCAUAUUAAAUUAUGUUUCAUAGCUAAAUAUUUGAUAUUAAAUGAAAGCCCUGCUUCCCCUGAAUAAAAUUAUAUAUAAUAAGGGUUGGUGCAUUUAAUAUGAAAGAGGUGAAUUACGGUUGGACAGACAUGUAGCGCAAAUGCCAGGUUUUGUUUACAUUUUGUUUUGUUCACAACGUGUACAUUUGGCUCCGUCCUUAAGGGGUUAAUUAUGCAUUUCUUUCACUGGGGCAAAUCUAAAAACAACUUGCAAACGUUGCAGAUCUCUUGUCUGCAAGCUUUACAAUCCCUCUCCUUCUAACCCCGCCCACACUUUCUGUGGCUGUCCCAAUGAGAAGUCUUUCCAAGGCAGGUGCUUUGAGCAAUUGCUACCUCUACAGUUUAGCUCCACUAAGCUAACUAACCAAGCCAGGAAGUAACAGGACCUUUGGUCUGCUUGAAAGUCAGGCGAGGGUGGGGGAGAGGACAAGGGGUAGUGUCCACAGUAUAAUUUAUAAAAGUGUAAUUUUCUAUUGAAAUGCACACUAUUUUUUUCAAAAUUAAAAAUAAUGAACACACGUUCAUACAUAAAGCUUUUUAACAACCUAAAGUGCUUUAGGGGUCUGCAAGCCCUUUAAGAAUAGGGGGAAAAUAUUGAUGUAAGACAUAUUGAAACAGGCCAACUUACCAUCCUCAUACUGCCGGGUCUUUACAUAUUUAUAAGGUUCAUCUAUGCACCAAAACAACUUGAACUUAAUGAAGCAGUUUUGAUAUAUAGGUCAUACCAUUGCAAUCUCACUUCUCAUAUCUCUGUCAUUUAGUAGUUAAAUCCAUGUUGUUUCUCUUUAUGCAGCCCUAGUCAUACCUCCCCUGACUGUGACUUACACAGCCUCCAUUAAAAAAAAGGUUUACAUUUUUAUCAGAUCUUACUGCACAGUGUGUUUAUUUUAGAAAUUCUUAUCUCCUGCUCUGUUAACCUUAACUUGCUAAAAUGCUUUACUUGGGAAGAGGAUCCCCUCUUUUUUUAUAUUUCAAAAAGUGCAGAUUUCCUUAUAAAUUAUCCUUCUCACACUCCCCUGGCUGUCAAGCAGCCAACAGGGCUUGUUACUUCCUGGUUGUGAUUAUCUCAGUAGAGCUAAACUCAAAAGACAGGGAAUCAACCAGAGCAAUUGCCUUGCAAAGACUUCUCACUGAGCUACAUUGGGAAAUCUGUGAUUGGACAGCCACAGAAAUUCUGGGCUGAGUUAGAGGGGGGUGGGGGGGGUAGAGGGCUUGCAAAGUCUGCAGACAUUAAUGCAUUUGAUAGAUAUUGCUGUAUUUUUUGCAUGAUCAAAUCAUUAUAGUUUUUGCACACAAAAAAAUAAAUGUUUUGCAGAAUGCUGUACCAUAAGCCAACCUCCUUAGCCCACCCCCUCAUGCCAGAAAGAAUUUCCUUAUCAGAACUAUGUACAUUGAGUGAGCUGUUUAUAAUUCACAAUCUGGCUGCAGACAGAGAAAGUUUAAACAGGUAAUGAUAUCUUUACUAUAUGUCUACCUGGGUGUCCUUUCCUUCUAAUACAAGUUGCGUUGUAGUUCAGGUCAUUCAGUGCUGUUAGUGGCUGAGCUGUGUACAUACCUUUGAUAAUGAAGUAUUUUUCAGGCAUGAAGGGCAUGGGUUAUGCUGCAGCAUUCUGCAAAACAUGUAUUUAUUUCAUGCAAAAGCUAUACAAAUUUGAACAUGCAAAAUACAGCAUAUAAAGCGUAUUAAUGAGGCCAAACCUAUCGAAUGCAUUUACAUAGUAUUGGUGCCAGAGUGACCCUUUAAUUAAAGCUUGUUGACUUUUUGCAGGCCAGUUAUCAACCAUCAGUGUCUGCUCCUGGUGGAAAAGGCAUGGACAGGUCAGCAGUCAACAUUGAGCUGCAAGUGGUCAAACUCUAACAGGGUUAAGUACAAAAGUUAAAAUUCAAAAUUAAUUUCAAUGCUUCCAUUUUGGCUUCUGCUUUGGCCUGAAAUUUUAGUUUUUAUCUGAAUUCACUGUGCAUUCUUGCUUUAGUGAAUAACUGUUACAAUUAAAUAUAUGAAUUUUAAACUUAGCCAAAACAGAUGUGGCCACCUUUGUACUCCCUAAAUGGAUCUGUGGUGCAGUACUGGUAAAAAGUGAUUACUCAGACUUUUGUCUGCUGUGACAGCAGAGUAAAUUGCCCCCCUAUUCCCAUAUAGCCAUACUUAGCGAUUUAGGUUAACAAUUAAAGACCAUGCAGAUGUUUUGCUACUUCUUCAUGCUGCUAGCAUCCCCUAAAAAAAUCAUGAGCAAGGUUUAUCCUACUUGACUGGUCCAUUAUUUGUACCACUUUAUCAUGAAAACAAAAUAUUUGUAUUUUCAUUGAAUAUGGGUUACUGGAUUAUUUUAUGUGUACUUUUGCAUCAACUUUACGGUUUGUCAGGACAAGGAUUCGUGCAGUCUUGGAGCUCUCAAUGGUAGGUGUCCACAUCUAGAAGGUUUUCUUUUCUUCUCUCAAUAAAAAGAUGAUAGCAUUGAAGUGAUGAAGUGAUUGCGGAGGUUGGAUAACUAAAAGCAAAACUUGCUCCUGUGCAACUAAUAGCACAAUAACACUGUACAGAAAAUGAAAACACAUUUCUUUUUUUUUUCUUUUUUUGACUUGGAGUCUUUCUUUGUUUGAAAACAUAACAUAAGUAUAAAGAGAAGAUCACAGCACAAUCAAAACAACUUUCUAUAAGCGGAUGAACUCGGUCAGAUAUACAAAAGAUUUCUUAUAAGUUCAAUAUUUGCAGUGUACUUAAUAGUAUAUUAUAUUAGUACAUUGAUGUACAAAGUUGGCUCAACGAAACAAAACCUAUGACCAAUUGUUGUUGAAAAGAUAACUUUUUUUUUCCCUUUCAUAUAGAUAAACUCCAAUCUAGACAAAUAUAUAAGGCAAAAAUACAUAUACUUACAGAGAAAAGUGAGAGUAAUAUCUGCUAACAAAGGACAACAAAAAAAUCUUGGAAGGAGCAGUGCCCACACAAUUAUUCAUUACAUUCCUUAGCACACGUGCUACCAUGGGAUUUACAAAAAAUGGCUUCUGGGUUUUUUGGUGUUCUGAAAAAUAAGGUGUUCUGAAAAAUUAUCUCUAAACUAAUUUUCCUGGCUGUAUGCACAGCUAGAACAGUUCUGAAAACAAAUAUAUAUAUAUAUAUAUAUAUAUAUAUAUAUUUCUAAAGAGGAAUGAAACACAAAAAUAAUUUACAAAAUAUUGUGAUUUAUUGCAACAUACCCAGUAUUAGACUUCCCUAUAUGUAGUCACAUUAUCCUCACAUUGCCACACACACAGACAGAUGUGGUACAUGCAUAUACUACAACAUAUUUGGUUAUUAUUGUGUGCUUCAUUUCAAUCUGUCCUAGUCUAUCAUAGCAGUGUCUCUAGGUCCCCCCCCCCACCCCAUGCCAGGCUCUAGGGAGUUGAAGGGGUUAAAUUUAGCUCUUUUUCCAGCGCCGGGUGGGGGACUCUCCUCCUCCUCGUCAUCGGCUGAAUGCACAUGCGCGGCACGAGCCACGCGCACAUUCAGCCAGUCCAUGGGAAAGCAUUCUCUAUGGCUUCUGGCAUCUUCUCACUGUGAGAAAUCACAGUGAGAAGCGAGGAAGCGCCUCUAGCGGCUGUCAAUGAGACAGCCACUAGAGGCUUGACUAAACUGAAACUGCUAUGUUUAUAGAAGAAAGGGUUAACCCUAGCUGGACCAGGCACCCAGACCACUUCAUUAAGCUGAAAUGGUCUGGGUGCCUAUAGUGGUCCUUUAACAUAAAUAUCUAUAUGAAAAUGCACACGCAGAAAAUUUUAGAUUGCCAAUUAUAGAGACGUCUGGGUUAUGGCUAUAAUUAGCGUUUCAAUGGCAGUUUGGAACAAAUGAUAAUUAAAAUCACUGACCCCUCUUGAAUCAAAUCUGUUUUUUGACCACAUAUUUAUAUAUAUAUAUAUUUUUUAUUAAGUGGACUUUUUUUAUUACAAUUUUAUGUAUACAUGGGAUCAGCCAAGAAGGGGUUGAUGAACUAUAAAUAACCAUGCCUGACUUAUUCACAAUUGAUAGAUUUAUUUUCCAAACCAUGAAUUAUCAGAUAUCCCCAGAGAAUCACAUAUUUAACUGCAAAAUAACUUGGAUGGAUGCAUAGGCAACUUGGAUAAUGUUUCCAAUUCAUUUACCCUGGCCAUAAUGUUAGAGCUCUCUGGUAAAUUUCUGAUAAUGCACCAUUAACAAAUGAUUUUUUUUUUUUACUGGUGAUAUAGGGCUGUGUGAGCACGAACUGUUUCUGCUUAGGGUUUCACCAUCACACAUUCAUGGCUUCAAUCCCUAAAGCCAAACCACCACCCAGCUACACCACCGACUAGGUAUAUUAAUUUGAAAAACAACUUAAAUAUGAUUAUUCAUAUGAUAUUAAUGUAUACAAAUUACAUUUAAAAUUUCUCAUUAUAAAAAUUCAACAUUUUUCAUUUAAACAAUCAAAAUCAAAUAAAUUAAAAUAAUUAAAUAAAUAAUUCCAAGCUAAAUUUUACCCAGAAGUGCAAUGGUUGAAAGGUAACAUUAUUUACAUAUUAGGGCAUUUGAUCUUCUAAUUUUACAUGCAUCAAUGCUUAUUUUGGAAAAGAGCUGUAAGUGGCAAUUAAAACAUUUUUGCAGCUGCAGGAUUUUUCAAAAAUAUAUAUUUAUGAAGUUGAACUCUUAUUUCUGAAAGGCAAAUAAAAAAUCUUGUCUGUUCAUUGCCAAGAAUCUUUCCCCUGGCAUGAAAUCACCAAAGUCUGCGGAGUCUGAAAGGUGAAAUAUUUUUUCUUUUAUCUGACACAUGUAAUAAUAUUCUGUGACCAAGUUUUUUUCCAAAAUGAAAUAGAGGGAUAUACGCUUGCCUCUGUAAAACACUCUUAAAUUAUUUGAGUUCAAGACUUAAAGCAGUGUUUUUUACAGAAAUAUUCUAUAAGUAUUUAUACAAUAGUUGCCAAGAGCUCUUCACCAUGAAGUAGGUAAUUUGCAAACAUGGUACAGCAAGAUUAACCCCUUCACUAAAAAAAUCAUAGCUUUACAUUUAUUAAAAAUGCAAUGGAUGGCCGGUAUAUAAAUCUAGGAUAAAUUGCAGAUUUGUGUACAUUGUUGUUCGGGGAUAAACGCAUAACAUAGUUGAAAGUUGGGCUUACUUUCAUGACAAAUCCUUCUGUAAACAAAGUGCAGUUUGGAACUAUGCCACCACAAUAUAAAAAUAAUAUUUGUAUAUCAGUGUAAUUCCCACAUACAUGAAGUAGAGUUGCACCUCUGAUUUCACAGACUGCUUUUACAAUAAGCAAAAUAUCUCUGCAUUACACUCAGAGUUCACUCUAUGUUUCCUUUCCUCUUUGGUUGCUAUAAUGCAGCUAUGAAGUUUAACCUACAAAGACCACUGUGCUGUUCGGGAGGAUGAGCUGUAUAAAGAAUCAUUGCACAUUAUUCUUAUUUCUUCAUAAGGUGGUAGCAUACACUGGAGGAAAUAGGAAGGUAAGUGGGAUUUGAUUGGCUAAUUUCACAGAGUUUGGUGGGAAGAAUUCAAGUACCUCUGGAGCCUAGGAAUGGUCUGUAUCCAAGAACAUACACCCUAACCAAACACCUGGAGAACUAAGUGUACCUCUGGCCUGCAGCAGGCACAGAAAAAGUAACACAAUUUUUAUGUUAAAUGUACUAAUAGAGUCCAAGGGAUAUUUGAGUAAAAUAAUAUUUUGAACAGGAAAUAAAAUCCAUUCGGUGGGAGAAUUUCAUUUCUAAAUAUAGCAUUUGGCUAGAAUACAACGGAAAAGGCAGUUGCGAAUGAUGAAGUAGUAUCUUUUUGCUAGUUUUUAUCAAGGUAAUUGCCUUUCUGCUUGCAUACAUACCAAGUGUCCCAGUACCACCCACACAAAUCCAGCAGUAGUUGCAGUCAUUGUUGUUAAUGUCCUUUUAUUCUUCCAUAGAUGUGACUAAUAACUCCCAAAAAAUCACAGAGCAAAUGCUUUCUGUGAUUGCAGUAAUAGACGCCUUUUCUGGAAAUGUUUAUAUUUUUCACUGUUAGGAUCACUGCAGUCGAUGCUGCACUGAAUAUCUAAAGAGCUUAAUGCUGUCCAACUGUAAAAAAUAAAUUGCCCUCAAAACGUUCUGUUGAUGAAUGCUGAUUAAAACAUGCAUCUCACUUUGACAUAAAAUUCUGUUAGUACCUGGGGUGAGCCAUACAUUUUUCAAUUUAUAAAUCUGGACCAUGUUCCUGAAGUGAUAAAACUGCCCAUCUUUUGUAUUCUGCAAAUUGGCCUUCAAGCACUUUAAGUUCCUUUGUCAUUAUUUGUGAGACUAUUGCAUUCUGUUACUUGUUGUCCUUUAACUAUAUUUUGAGUCUAGAAAAGUCCUUGUGCAUUUCUGUUCCCUGACAGCCUGUAAGGAUUUUUUUUAUCUUCACUGAAUUCGAAAUUAUAUUUUACAGCAUGCAAAGGAAUAAACAGACAGAGAUAUUUUUAUAAAAAAAAGUUUUGAUUAUUUUGGAGCGUAUGCACUGAUUUUAGACUUGAGAUUGCUCUUUUUUUAAUUAAUACAAAAAAGCAAAAACAAAGCACUCUAUUGAAUUUACAAUAUAUAAAAAAACAAACAAAAAAACAACAACCUUAAAACAAAUGGUAGUAUGGGAGAACGUAUUUUGUCCAAUACCAACUCGUCAUUGUUUUCAUUGUCAUACAUUGUUUAUUUUCCGAUCCUUAUUGUUAACCCACAUAUUGAACCAAACAUAAGGGCAAACAGUCAAUACUUUAUAAUAGAAAAUGCAAUUUUGUAUUCCCUGCCAUAUGUAACAUAAUGUGUGAUAUAGCAUGAUUGAAUGACUCACUGAUGAAAGCAACCUGUGAAAGGAUGGCUGACUUUAUCAAUAAUGCUAAAUGGUGACAUAUUGUCUUAUAUAACCUAAUAAGGGAAACAUCAAUAUAAGUUUCCAAGGUAAAUAAAUGAGGAGGGGAUCAAUUAAUUCUCUUUGUGAGCUAUUCUAGGGUGUUAAUAUUGACUUGUUAGCACAUUGUUAUGUGAUUGUGUUCAGGGUCCUAUGAGAUUACAUCUGUUUAGCAGGAUUGUGUCCAACAUCUAGUCUUUGAGAAUAGAUUCCCAUGUUUAUUAAUCUACACGCUGGGUUAUUUUGUGGUCCACAAACAUGUUUAUUUAAAAAAAAAACAACGCAUUACCGUGCAAUGCAUUAGAGUGGUGCAUGAUUUGCAGCAUAUGUGCAUAUUAUAUGGUUGCUGUAAAUAAAUUAUAAUGUAUAAAAAUAUGUAGUUUUUGUCUUUUAAAAUAAAAUACAAUCAGGUUAAAUGUAACUUUGACUAUUUUAGUUUUUAUGGUAAUGUACGAUAUUACUGUCAAGAUUCCUACUAUUAUUUAGAAUGUAAGCACGUUUGAGCAUGGCCCUCAACACCCUCUGUACCUGUGCGUCCAACUCGUCUUGUUACUAAUACUUUUCUGAAAGGCCAUCCAUUGUACAGCGCUGUGGAAUUUGUUGGCUCUUUAUAAAUAAUAACUAUAUUUUCGCUGUACUAAGCAUGAGAUGAUAUUUGAAGGGGAUCAUCUUGUUCCAGAAAUGUCUUUAUAUUAUGUUUAUUUAUCCUUAUAUUUCGCAAAUAAGUGUUUGUGAGAUCUGAAAAAAAUUAAUAUAUGGAGAAAUUUGCAGUGCUGCAUUUAUCUCAGUCGUAGAACUGGCUGCCUCCAUCUUGGCUCAAUGUUGAUCAUUGUUAUAAGGUCCGCCCUUUGUACCUGUCAGACACCAUAGAGAGAGUAGAGUAAGGAUGAGAAACAGAACUAAUGUUUCUGCUUUUGCUUUUACUUGGUACUGUGUCCCAGGACUGAAUUGGAUUUCAAUGUCAAUUAAAACAUCUUUCAUGUGACAUGUUAAAAGAGCUAAACUGGCUGUGGCUGGAAUCCCGACACACCCUUCAUCUUUCCAGCCUUGUGCAUAAGAGCGUUUCUGGGAAGCUCCCACCCUACCUGAGGAGAAUGCUCUCCCCAGCUGUUCCCACCUCCUAUAACCUCUGAUCCAGUACGAGCAUGAUAUUUAGCAAUACAAAAAUAAAGUGGCACAAUCAUCAUUUUCCUACAGAGCACGGCAAAUUUGGAAUAACCUCAGGGACACAGUCAAAUCUUCAUUCAAUCUAAAAUCUUUUAAGAGAUCUAUGGUAAUAUACCUCAGCACAGAAUGCACCUGUCAUGGUUGAAUAUAUUUAUUACCUGUUAUGUAUUGAAUUUAUAUAUGUGUGUAUGUAUAUAAAUAUAUAUAUAUAUACUUUGUAUAUUGUAUUUUUUUUUUAUAUAUUGUACCCUAUUGUAACAAUGCAAUGUUUUGUGGACACAGGACAUACUUGAAAAUGUGAGAAAUCUCAAUGUAUCAAUCCUGGUAAAAUAUUAUAUAAAUAAAUAAAUAUACAUUUAAAUGAAAAUGGAAAAUCAGUGGGCAACAAUAAUGGGAUUUUGUACAAUUGUGCACUUCCUCGAGAAGUGUUGGUUCUAAUUUAAUAUUGAUGAAUGGGGGGCCUAACGCCCAAAUCCUUUAUGAUAGAUAGAUAGAUAGAUAGAUAGAGAUAGAUAGAUAGAAAGAUAGAUAGAUAGAUAGAUCGAUAGAUAGAUAGAUUUAUGAAUGUAUGCAUGUGAGUGUGUAUGUGUUUGCGUGUGUGUGUGUAUAUAUAAUUUAGCAUGAGGACUAAUAAUAAGUGUAGGAGCCCCUAAGGCCAAAAUAAUUAUAUUAACUUUGCAUCCUCAUCUUUGAUUAUCUACAUCUUUAUUGGCUAUUUGGAAAAAAUUGCUUGUUCUAUGAACCUCCAUACCCUACAGGUCAUGUGACAGUGCACCCAUGCUCCCCCUGCUCGCUGUAAUAUUAACCCACACUUCACCAUAAUUAUAUUGGCCAUGGAAAAAACAGGCAUAAUUUGUUGAUCUUCCUAUAAAAAAAAGGUAGUGAAGUGGUUAAUCUCAGCUAAUACUGAUUCCCUUGAAAUUGUAUUUUUUACUUUAAUAAUUGCAAAAAAUGUUCUAAUUUGAAAUUGUAGUACAACACUUAUGCUACAAUAAUAAAUAUUUAAUGUCCAUCUAUUACAAGCUGGUGAUGUGUUCUGCAGCUAACAGAUACAUUGUAGGCUGUGUUAUAAAAAAGGCUUGCAUUGUCGCUGAGGAAAAUGCUGAUGAUGCUGUGAGUACAUGCUGGGCUUUAAGACACCUUAUGGCGGAUUCAGGUGAGCUUUUAAGACAUGCUUAGCUUGAAAUGAUUUAGAAAAUCUUGACUUUAGCCUGACCUGACUCAGGUUUUAAAUCAUGGUGGAAGAAGAUUUAAUAGGAUUGGUACUCAGAUUGCAUGUAAUAUGCUGGACAAGUUAUACAAUAAAUUAACCCAUGGCAAACCCCAUAACAACUACAAAGAAAACAAUUUAUUCUCAAUAAUAUAUUUCUAUUUCCAUUAUCAAACCUUUUUUUGUGGCAAUUCAUUUUACAGUCAAGUACAAAAUACCCCAAAAGCUUUUUUUGUAAGAUCCAUAAAAGAAAUAGUCAAGAAAGUAAUCUAUAGAAUAUAACAAUAUUCUGUAUGGAUCUAUAUGACUAUUAGUGAUAACUGUCCUCCCUCUGCUUUGACACUAAUUAUAACCCCAAUUAUUUAGGUAUGUCUGAAUAUAUCACAGAGCUCCACAGAAAUAAAACUCAGAGUAAUGUGUGGUGUGUGUAUGAGUGAAUCACAAAGCUCCACAGCAAUAAAACUCCCCGUAAUGUGUGGUAUUUAUGAUAGAACCUGGAAUUAGUAUAAAUGGCUCAUUCAAGUAAUAGGAUGCUGCCAAGAAUGCUGUGAUAAACUGUUGCCACUAAUUGUUACGAUGUUGAGGGAUAUAAUGGAGAUGUAGAUCCAUUUGGUUUUUCUGCACGGUGAAAGUCAAAAGUCAAAUAUAUCUCUGGGGAACAUAUUGCAAACCAAAGGGAUUAAUAGGUAAUAGGAGUAGGUGAUGUGUAGAGUCCCACAAGGGGAAACCAACAUCAGGAGAGCUCCACUGUAUAAGAAAUGAGGAAGGGAGGCCCUACCUUUAAUUAAUCUAAGGAUAAAAAGGGAUAUGCAAACAAAAAGUAUAACUUGAAAAAAGGGGAGAUCUACUAAACGGUGCCCAGGGGAUCAAUUGUCUGGAGUACUAGCUUGCAUCUAAGUUCCAGUUCCCCUAGUGUCCGACUGACAGGAAGGUAGUGUAAACGAGGUUAGGGAGAGAGAAGAGGCAUAGGGUCCCCAGAGAACAAGGAACCGGGUAAUCAGGUCUAAACGCAGAUGAAAAGCCUCACACAAAAAAUAAAUAAUUAAAUAAAUCUCUCAAUUCACCCUAAGAGUUACCUCAACACCAUGGUCUAACCACUAGUAUAUAUUGUCUACCUGAACCAACUCUCCCUACUAAAGUUAUAAAUAAAUAAAUAAACACCUAAAAAAUAAGUGGUAACAAAAAUAAAAAAGUGCUACCAAGUGCAGAGAUUAAAGAAAAAGAAAACGCUUGACGCGCGUUUCAGCGUGUUUAAAACGCCGUCGUCAGGAGCCAAAGGGAUUAAUAAUACAUCACUGCAAAUCAGAAAAUUCACCAUGUUUUUAUAUCUAAAUAGCUUAUUCAAUAAAUAUCGAGCAGUAAUGUUUGUAUUUUGCCUAAUCUAAGCUACAUUUAAACAUUUUUAAAUCUCAACUAAUUUUGCCUGCAUUGUAUAAUUUAAUGAGUAAACUCUAAUUUAUUAAACGUUUAUAACCACUUUAAUAAAAAUAUUGAUUAAUCAUCAUUCAAAAACUAUUGCGUUUGAUACAAUACAUACUUUCUUCAUUUAUUCACAGCUCGUUUUUGUCCACUCUUUCCCUGUUGAUAGGCUCCAGCUAAACCCAGGAGAAGGAAAAUAAUGAAACUCUCUGCCGAGUAGACCUUGCAUGGACAACUAUGUGAUGAAUGCCAAUAAUCUCUACAAUUCAUGCUGCAGGGCUGUUUCAGUGAUGGAUAAUAAAUCUAAAAAAAAAAUCUAUAUACUUUUGGUUUGUCAGUAUCAUUUUCCUGAAUAUUUUCAAUGGACGAUAUUUGGAUGAGCCAAACCACCACACGGACGACAAUCGGACUUUCUGACUAUUAAGCAUCGGUUUGCGUUUUCUUUUUAUCCGCUUGUACAAACACCAUUGUCAAAAAACGUUCAAGACCUUCUGGAUUUAAUAUGAUCCUCAACAGAAAAUGCCUGAAUUAGUCACAAGAACUAUUUACAAUGAAAAUGUUAAUUUCUUAAUAGGCAAUUAAAAUAAUUUACAAAUAUGUGUUGUUUUUAGUUUAGAACUCCAGCUAUCAUGUAAAGUUUAAUGCAAUUCUAAUUAAACUAAGCGUGCUAAACAAACAAAUAAUUUUCAUCUGUUACAGUUAAUUAAAUGACAAAAAGAGAAAAAAUAAGCAUAAAUAGCUAAAUCCAGAGUAGUAAAAUCAAGAUCCCUAUAGUGAUUUCAACACUCGUACAUAUCACUAAUGAAAGAAAACAGUUGAGAACAAAAAAGGCUUAUUAAAAGGUUUAAUUUGCUGUGACAAUGGUGUCUGCAGGCUCCUAGUUUCAGCUGUCCCCAAUUAUUGUGUUAUGGUUCUUUUUUUAUAAACCCCACACGGUCAUAACCUUGUAUGAAAUACUCUCAGUACAAAGAUUAUGCCAGUUUGAACUUCCAUUUUCUCGUUUCCAAACAAACUUAAUGUGAUAGAUCUUAGAUAUUCCACACUACAUUCGCCACCGCACAUUUUAUCCCCUGAGCUGCAAAUGCAUAUAUUACAUAUAUUUAUAUAUAAAAAUUAAAAAUUUCAUCUGGAAUCUGUAUGAGAACUAGAUUUAGAAUUUAAAAUGUCAAACGUAUUUUUAGAAGCAACAAUGAAACUCGAUUAUGUCAUUUGGACCAAGCAGAGGGAAGAACAUAAACUGAUAAAGGUUUGUGUCCUUUUUCAUAUAUGGAAAACACAGUAAGAAAAUAAUUAUCACUCGACUUGUAUAGAUCAUCUGGCAGUGUGCAGAAAGGGUGCUCAUCAAGGUAUGCUCACCACAUAACAAGCAAUGUUUCAUUUGUUUUAAAGAUACAGGUUAUUUACUAAAUUGAGGAAUCAAGGUGAAUUCAAAGUGAAUUUCAAAUUUAAGGUCAAAAUAGAUGAUCUGGAAAAAUUCUCUAAGUCAAAUGUGCUUCCAAUUCAGCAACUUUGCCCCUAAAUUUUAAAUUCACUUUAAAUUCACUUUAAAUUCACAUUGACUUCCCACUGUAACGAAUAACCCUGACAAUUUGCACGAGCUUCCCUAUUUAGCUGACAAAAACCCCUGCUUAUAAUACAAUGUCUUUUUAUGGCCGAGUGCGACUUUUACCAUACUAUGGGUUUCUCAAUAAGUGCAUAUAUCUUAUCUGUUUUAAUUACCGAUAGAAAAAAAUGUUCCUAACUCACUAUUUUUGUGGAGGAACUGGACUUUCCCAUAUUGUGAGAAAAUAGAUUGUAUUCCAGGUCCAUCACAAUCCUUUCCAUCCCAAACCCAGGCAAGCAUUGGGUUACCAUACCAAUGUUUAACAAUAGCAUCGGUCCAGGAAUCCAUACAGUCUUGCUGCAUCAUGUAUAUUUCCAAAUGGAUUCUCCCAAUUUUAAGGACACUACUUUGAGAAUAAUAUCCUUAUUCACAGGGUAAAAUGCUGGUUAUGUGAGUAACACCAGGUUCCAAAAAACCAUGACCAUGCAAACACGACUUCCUCUUCCAUGCCUCUAAUUCUUCAGCACAGCGUAGAGCGAUUUUUUUUCAGAAGAACCCAUGUUUGUUGACAAUUUCGUGAAUCAAUACAACAGUUAGGAUUAUUUGCUUAAGUAAGAAUUCAAUGUGAAUCAAAAGUGAAUUUUAAGUUUAAGAGUAACUGAACGGAAAUCAUAGUCGACUUAGAGAAUUUGUCCAGUUUGGCUCUUUUGAUUUUCAAUUUAAAUUUACUUUGAAAUCUUACCUUAGUGAAUAACUGAGUAUUUUUUGAAAAAUAUAUUUCAAUUUAACCCCUUAAGGACACAUGACGGAAAUAUUCCGUCAUGAUUCCCUUUUAUUUCUGAAACUGUGUCCUUAAUUUACUGUUCUGAAUGUAAACAAGCAUUACCUCUGUAUUUACCUUUCAUUUUUUUAAUAGUAAUAUUUAACAUUCUCCGUUCUUUCUACCUUAACCUGGGCAGAUUAAAUCUCCCUGAAUUGUGUAAAAUAUGUCCACCUUCUCAAUGAUCCCAAAUAUGAAAUAUGUGAAAUAUUUAAAUUGCCUUCUGCUAUCGGGCAAAAGGGUGAUUUAUAACAACAUAAUGUGCUAUUAAGGGGUAAAUUGCUAAAUAAGAACCAGUCACCAUACAGACCAAUAGAAUGUUUCUCAGCAUUUAGUACUUUAUAUAGAGAAUAGUAGCUGUUUUUGCCUAAUAGUUUUAUAAUAUAUGCAUCUUUUUUGUUUCUGUUUAAAGCAUCUUCCCUGAGCAAUUUAUCUUCUCAUUCUAUUUAUUGCCCAGGGUAAAUGAUGCCUCUCACCAAUUUAAGGCAUUUAACAUCCCUAUACUCACAAAACGUCAAAAAGCAGAGGCACAUUCAUAAAAUUAAAGUUGUUUAAUGGAAAUUUGACAAUCAGUUCAUAUAGAUGAAAAUGUCUUAUUUAAAAUUCUCUUAUAAUAUCUUCUUCUGAGGUUUAAAAAAAAAAAAACGUAAAAAAUAUGCACAAGAUGUUCUCAUUAAUUUGUACCAAAUUUCUGGAACAAAUAUAUCUGAAUUUUGCUACUUAAUUGCAGUAUACAGAAUGAGUAAUCAAUAACUGUCCCCCUUUCAGAUGGAGCCACAUAGGGUUAUUCAUGAAACCAUAAAUUGUCUAGAAUUAGUUCUGCUACUGCGAGUUUAAGGCCAAAACAAAUGCACUGGAAACAUAUCUGACUCUGUAAAUCUCUCAAUUAGUCUCUUUUGACCUAAACUUUUCAAUUCCUGUCAAAUUCAAGACAAUUACUGCUUUAGUUUAUAACCCUAAAUAUGGAUUAAGGAAACCAUAUAUUAUCAUUUAAAAGACCAUAAUAUAUAUCUUCUAUAUUUGAUUUAUAUUUCUAAUCGUAGCAGAUGGCCCUUUGAACUCAUACUGGAUGGAAGUCACAUAUUGUUCCAUAUAUUUGAAAACCAAAUGUUUUUAAUUGCUGCAUAUUUUAUUUUUUAUUAAAAGUGUCUUUUGUUUUGAAAUUACACAGUUUCAAAGAUAUUUUGUGAAAGAGGGUAAUUAUACCCUUUUUUGAUUUUGUUUUAAGCUUCUGAGGCUUUGUACAAGGUUAUGUUGAUCAAUUACAAUAAAUGCACAAGGUCAAUCCAGGGAGUAAUUAACCUUCCAUUUUGAUAGCACAACUGACAAUAGAGCCACGUUGUACACACAAUAAAUAAUUUAAUAGUGAAUAUAUCUGUAAAAUUAUGCUGUAGAGACAGACAUACUGAUAGUCUCUUAUUCUUUAUAAAGUAUAUUAUUUAGAUAUAUGUAGACAUGAUAGAUAGAUAGACAGACAGACAGACACUGUAUGAUGGACGGGCAAUGGAUAGACAGACUGAUAUAUUUUGGCUACCAUCUUAUACUGUACAUAUAAGAUUUUUUGACUUUUUUAAAGGAAGUAUGUAGAGGAGCAAUGGGAGUCUCAGCCAUGGGAGGUGUGGUUAGGGUUGCAUAAACAAAGUGAUUUAAUGCAUAAAUCGCAGACAAUUGAGCAGUGAGACUGCAAGGACACGAUCUAUACACCAAAACUGUUUCAUUACGCUAAAGAUAAUAUGUACUUACAAAAAAAUGUUACAAAAUACUAAGAUAAACGGAAGGAAUACUAAGAUAAACGGAAGGAAAUGGAAGAAAAAAUGAGAUCUGGAUCAACAGGAGCCAUAAUGUCUUUUAGGAUGACUGCCAAAGUAACAAACUAUUCAUCAACAGGGUUAUAUCCUAAUAUGAGGACUCAAAGUGAAUUCUAACUGAAUUUGAAAUUUAAGGCCAUUGCAGCUGAACUGAAAGCAUGUUUCAAGUCUAACUUAUUUGACCUUAAACUUGAAAUUCACUUUAGAUUCUCACUUAGUAAAUAACACUGCUAGCAUUAUUACAUAGAUAUGCAUUAUAUGCAGGUUAACAAAUAUAAAAAGCAUAGUUAAUAUAGUGAAUUAUAUGUAUUGCAAAGCAGUGGUUAUCAUAAGGCCAUUGUAGCAUGUACUUACAGCGUAAUAUGUCAGAACGUGACAGCUACCAGGUGGCUUGGUGCGAUAAGAUGCAGUGAUGGAUAAUCAACAAAGUUUACAUGAUACAAGUAUAGUAAAUAGGAUAAUAUUAUUGUAUAUCUAUUGGAGCAUUCUUGGUCUCCAAUCAAUAAUAUACCAGAAAUGAUAUAAAUCUGGAGCAUCUCCUAUAAGAAGUUGCACCAUAUAUUGUUUAGAUUGAGAAGGACCAGAUAAAGAUCACAAGAAAACAGGUUUUAUGAUAUUGAAGUCUAAAGAUCUAAACAUGUAGUCAAUCUCUGCCUUCCUAACAAUUUCAUAGGUAAUCAGAAAGUCUUUUAUAUUGACUACCAGAAACAUUCCUUUCAUAAUCUGAUUACACUGUGUCUGUUUAGAAAGAAAUGUUCUACCGUUGGUGUCCAUGAUAAAUGGAAAUUGAACAAUUCAUAUUCAAGGCAUUCUGAUUCUCUGAAUAACUUUAGAUAUUGAUAUUUCCGACAGAACCGGUAUGAUUUUCAACUCAUGGUCUUAAAAAGAUUCUCCAAAUACAGUAACCACUGCAGCUUAUUGUAAUGGCUAUGACACAACAAAUCUAUGGAAGCUGUCCAUCCAGUUUCAAGCAGUUUUCAAGAAUUGUGUUAAAAACAAAAGGUUUGCCAGUGCCAAUAGCCCAGAUUCUCUGCCGGGAACCUUCAAUAUUUGUCUAUAAUAUGUGCACAAAGUAAACAGGGUUUGUAUUUAAAUCACUGACGAACAUUUUGCGGACACAGAAUUAACACCGGCUCCUGGGGGGUUAAUGGUAAAUUGGCUUGUAAGACGAGUUAAUUGAAAUUUGAUGCAGCUGAAUCUUGCUUAUACAAAGCAAAUAGUUUUGGGCAAAUAUGGAGGCAAUUAAACAUCCUCAUGUCAACAUGCCAGGCAGAGAGUGUAAGGUUUGGGUGCAAUGGGAUCCACUGUAUUUUUGUCAAACCAUUUUGUCUUUUGGCAACAUCAAUAUGGACUUUAUUUAUAGCUUUCUAAUACCUUAUUCUCUAACCUAAGCCAUAGAGCUCUAGUGAGCAUGUUUCUUGGGACAUCUUUCUUAAAAGCAAGAUCAAAAUGACUCUUGUUUUUAUUGUUUUUCUAUUUUAUAUACUAACAAUAAUAAAAUAUUUUAUUUAGCUGUAUUCAACGGACCAACCUGAAUAAGGCAGCUAAUGGACAAAUGUUAUCUCAGAAUUAUGUUUCUAUAUAAUAAUCCUUUCAUCAAGGCAAUUGAUUUUUUACAAUAAUGUAUAUGUAACAAAUGAGGAAAAAAACAACUAAUUCCUACUUAUGACGGGAUCCUUAAGCCAUAAAUGUGUUGCUUUGGUCAGACGAUGUUUGAAAACAGUUGGUCUCUAGGGUUUUCUCUGUUUCUGUGCGGGGAGUGAAGCACGGUAGACCAUAGAGACUAACUGUUUUCAAACACUGUCUGACCCAAAGUGCAUGUUUAUGGCUCAAGGAUCCUGACAUUUACUAAAGGUAGGGAUUUGUUUUCUCUACUGUUUUUUACAUACACUUAAUUAAAAAAAAUCUGUUUCCUUUCCAAACUAUUUGAAAGGAUUAUUAUAUUAAAACAUAGUUUUGAGGUGGCUAUUGCCCUUUAGGUAGUCUAGAAAACGUGAACUCCAAAUCUAUGUAGUUUACCAACAAAGGUAUGACUUCUUUCCUGUAUUUUAACAGCUAGCACAGCACUAUAUUUUACUGAUAUCAACAAACCCUGAGCUGUGAAUUCAUCACCCAAUUCAAAACAAGAAAAUCAGCAGUGGUAUUGGCCAGCAGCUAAGGAAUCUGAUCCCGCUAAGACACUGAAUAAAAAGAGUGUGUACUGCUAACCAUCCAUGUCAAUCAAAAGACUGACUGUCGGGGAGGUGGUAGGGACACUUGACGAACACAGCAGGGGAUCGGCUUCCCAAGCAUCCUGGUAGGUAUUUUUCUCUGUUGCAGUAAGCAUGCAGUGUUAAAAUAGAACUGAGCACUGACUUUUGACACCUUCCUAAAUAGCAGAAAAUCUGUUUUAUGGGUUACCUGUGUGUUAGCUGUGCGAAAGUCUGACACAUUUUAAAUUGAUGCUUAUUCAACAACUGGAAUAAACAAUGAUGAUUAACACGUAAUGAUGUUUAUGGUUUCUAUGUAAGAUUUGUGAGUGUAUUUCCUGUCUGAAGGCGGACAUUUCUUCUUUAGAUAACAGUGUACAGUAAAGGUAAAGUAUGAAUGAACCUUUAUUUUCAGAAUUAUCUUUGAACAUGUAAAGUAGCCCAUAAACACUCAACAUUUCACUAAAUAAAACAAAAUGCUUCAAUAGGUUUCUCAUCGUUAGCCAAAUAUAUCAUAUAAUGUUUUUUUUUUUUAAGAAAAUGAAACUGAAACUCCCUUAAUGUAAAUGAUACAUUUGUGUUAGAGCAUUCAUCUAAGGAUGAAUGCAUUCUUGUAAGAUGGUUAUCAAACUGCAUAUCAUGAUAUCAAUAUAACCCAGUCAUUGUAACUGCUCUGGCUAUGACCUUUUAAUAAUUUGAAGAAGAUGAAAUGCAUGAGAACUGAACAAGGUCUGUGAUGUUAGAAUUAUUGAACUGCCUUGCAAAUACUAAUUUGUCUAAAUUGUACCAGAAGUAUAAAUAUUCUAAUUUCAACUGUUCAACUGUCGACCUAACUAGAACAAUGCAUAAACAGAAACUAUUCUACGCAGAAUAAACAUAAAAGAUUUGCCUGUUGCUACGCUUUAAGUGACCAUGUAAUUUAUGUUUAAAAACAAAAAAAUAUUUGAAUACUAUAUAUGCAUGUAUAUCAUUGAAAUAUUGAGUAUUUAUUGACAGCAAAGAUAAAAGUAAACGUAGAAUAAUUGACUACAUAGAGCUAAGAAUGCAUAAAUGCAGCUGAGCUAAAAAUACAUAAAUAUAACAUAAAAUUAAAUUUUUACAUGUUUAUGUUUAUCUUUGCUACUUUUGCUCUCCCUUUGUUCUGUUUUAUUUUUUUGCCUUUUUUUAGUUAAUUGAUGAAAACAGACCUGCUUCCACUAAAGGCUUGCUGCAUCAGCAGAUGUGUGUUUCGUGCAGAUGUUUUGUUAACUGAGAGCAAGAUUGUCUUUACUAACUUACUUUAGAGCAUUAUGUUGCUCAUUAUAUAACAUAAGGACACAUGACAUGUGUGACAUGUCAUGAUUCCCUUUUAUUCCAUAAGUUUGGUCCUUAAGGGGUUAAAGUGAAAAAUGUAAAAAAAAAAAAAAAAAAAGUAUAUAUUUAUUUUUAUUUAAGAUAGAAAUUCAAAACAAUUUAUCAUAUAUAGAAGGCCAUUUUUAACUGUACCCCUGUGUUUUUCUUCUAUGUUGAUGAAUGGAUGGAUGGAUGGACGGGAAAGACCGACAGACAGGUGGACAGGCAGAUGGAUAGAUAAUUUCAUCAUACAGUCAUAUUAUUCCUCUCUGUUGACUAGGUUUUAUGUAGAAAUGUUUUACUGUUAAAUUGUAGCAAUUUAUUAGUUCAGUAAUCUCCUUCUUGACAUUUAACUAUUCUUUUUAGUCUUUCUGAUCACAGUUUCCGUCUCUGAGCAGUUUUGCAGCCAGAGAAGGGAGAUAAUAGGUAGAUAGGAUUUAUAGCUGUCAAUAGUGGCUGAGAAGUAUUGCUUGAACAGCAACUUCUUUAAAAAGCAAUUGCUGCAUCAUUAGGCUGGAGACUCAUGUUUCACAAGCAAAAUCACACUUCUAAGGAAUGGCUUUCUUCACAUCUGUAAUUGCUAUAGAGUGAAGGUGACUGGAGUUUAUAUACACUCUAUAUUCUUAAUGAUAUAUUUUGUGCUUUAUUAAUACGUUGCUACAGAUCUUCUAUCGUAAUAUGUAGAUUUAGUGUAAAACAGUUUCUUUGUUUUGUUUUUUAAAGAUAUAUUCUAAAACGAGUUCAGGAAUUCAAAAUCUGUAUACUUUAAAUUAAUUUGGCAGCAGAAAAUAAUAGCUAGGUUUAUGAAAAUAAUGUUUACAUACAUUGAUAUAUAUAUAAACACAGUUAAACCUUGUAUAAUCACUUUUAAAAUACAUUUCAGACAUAAACCAGUUUGUAUCUCUUACACAUAUUUCUUUUUCGUUUUCUUUUUUUUAAGAGAUACAUUUCAUUCUGAGAAAAAUACUACACUACUACUAAUAGCCCAGAAUAACUGACUAAUGAAAACAUAUAUAUACGUAGCCUUGUAUGGUGUAAAAGAUCAUCAUCUAACAUUGUUCCAUUGGGAUUUAUCUAUGUAGUGUCUGCGUUAAAGAGGGAUAAAUUCAGGAAUGAAACUAGAAAGAGCAAGCGGAAUGCUUUAUAAUGCAUUGAUUGUUCCCAAAUUUAGGUUUAACUGUGUUGCUUUGCAGAGUGGGUUGAUAAAUAGUGGUCUAAAGAUUGAUGUAUAGUUGAAACCGUUCUUGAAAUGGAGACAAUUAACUCACUUUGCCGUGUAAAUCACUUUACAUUGCAAGCAUUUUAGUCUUGAUAAUUAAAAUCUAAGUCUUUUAUUGCAUAAUUGCCCCCUAGGCUUGGAUAGUUUUUGCAAUUGAAAUGCUUAAACUUUGUUUUCUGGUCGGCUCCCAUGAAGAUUAAUUGACAUCCUUAUUAGCUUUUGGAAAGUAGAAAAACAUAUUCGUUCUCAAUGUUAAAAAAUAUAUAUUAUAAUAUGUAAAGCGUUUCUCUAUUCUACAAUUUGAUAUCACUGUUUGAACAGAUAGUGUAGGCUUUAACAGAAGAUUCCAGGGUAGACUUUCUGACAAUUUACAGAAACAAAAAUUGAUUUGUGCAUUCAAUUUUAAAUCAAUUGUGAUUCUUCCAAAUUUGGCGCGUUUGGCGGCUGUAUCAAAUUCUGUAACUCUGAAACACUGUAUGGAUGAAUCACGAAACAAACAAACUGGGCAGUGGAUGAACAGUCCACAACACAAAAAAAAGAAGAUUGAUUGUUGGGGACAGUUACUAAAUGGUGACUUUAUUCACAGAUCAGAUGAGAAGUGACACAUGGAGUGAAAGAAAAACAUUUUUGUUUCUUACUUUUUCACCUUUUUUCCCCUCUAUUGGCUACGUCUUCUCACUUGAUCUGUGAACAUUUGCCUAUAUAUGCACAAUACUUAUAUUAUAAAUAUAUUUUACAGUACAAUAUUUGGCCCAUUUUAUGCCCUUUUGCUUAAUUUGUUCCUGAAACCAUUAAAUGGGUGAAAUUCUUCCAAACCAAAACACCACAUGGGCGAAUCCCAACUUGACUGACAAAAUUGUAUUAAUAUAUUUUUGGGGGCUAAUUGAUUCAUUUUUUUUUUUGCCAUGCGCAAGUCUAGAAAACAUGCAUUAAACAUAAAAAACUGUUGUUUGCUAAAGGUCCAAAUCACAGAGCUAAGAUUGUCGUCUUGAAAUCUCUCUGUUAUAUAGGAUCUUUCUCCAGUAAAGUGACUGAGUAUGGUUACAUGUAUAGUGCCAAACAUGCAAUAAUAGUCAUUUUUCAACUCAAUGAUUAACAACAGCCUGCCUCAGAACCACCUUUACUAUUGCCUGUUUACUUGUUAAACAUUAGAUGUACUAUUUUCCAAGUAAAUGAAAUUGGCAUUGGCAAAACAAAUUGAAACAUGACACCAGGUCUAAUUUACUUAUAAUAAGGUAAAUAAUUUCACAUAAUUUGGAGAGAAGAAACUUGUUACACACACAACUCUUUUACAGAUAUGAUUGAGGACACUUUGAUAAAGUUAGAGGUGCAGAAUAUACACAUUUACAUGCAUUUUAUUGAUGAUUUUAGCAUUUGUAUAAUGGAAUAUUGUUAAUAAAAACAUAGCAAAUCGUAAGAUUGUAAACACAUUGAAACCUGAAUGAAUAGACUAAUACUUCCUAAAAUUUCAAAGGACAGUUUAUGGGACACUUUUUUGGCUUAAUGUCUUAAUAAAAUGGCAGAAAACCUCAAAAAAAGUGAAUCUCUGAAAGUCCUGCUUUCGUAGCAAACUCAAGAGAAUUGUUAUUUCACCAGGGCCCAUGAUGUCAUCCACUAAAUGUCUUUCAUUAAACUCUAGAACAACCAUUGCAUUCAAAGAUAGAAAUUGUGAGCAUGGAUGUGUAUAUUCCUUCUGUGUGGUCUGUAACUUCUCACUUAAGUGGAAGCAACAGCUGGCAAAAGUGCAAUAGAACUAGUUCAUUUGAAAACUGAAUGAGAACCAAUUUCACAAGUGAUUGGCUUCAAAUCAUUUGUAUGAAUGGUUCUUAUUGAUUUCUUUCAUGUGAAUAAGAAGCUGCAAGCGGCAUAAUUUGUGUAUACCCAAGCUUCUCAUUCACGUGGAUGAGCAAAUGCUGCACAAGGGUUUAUGUGAAAUAUAUUUAUUUACCUUACACAGAAAUUUCAUGACAUCUGCUUGGAAGUCAAGUACGCGAGAACUGAGAUACAUUUUUAUUUGGUUGUUUGUUUGUUUUUUUAAGAAAAUUUGAUUAUUUUAUUUUGCCUGAUAUUAUUACUAUUUUGCGUUUUUAAUUUGAAAAUGAUACAUGGAAUUACAACUAAAGAGAGCAAAAAUAAACCCAAAAAGUGUGAAUUCCCAGGAAUUUUUUUUAAUUAAAAGUAAAUGCCAUAUUAUAUUCAGCUGUUUUUGUUUUGUCAAAUUAGGCCUAAAUGUUAAACUUUACUUUAAGUUCCUGACAAAUCACACUUUAGUGAAUAGAAUAUCAGGAUUGCAUAGUUUAUCAUUGUUGAAAGACACACCGCAUAGAAUAGAUUUGUCAAAACAUUAUUUGAACUUAUCACUUCACAAUAGAAUUUGAACUGUAAUAAACAUUGUAGUUUGUAAAUUCAAUUCUAGCAACCAACACCUGAGACCAUACAGAGGGAUCCACUCUGUUAGGCAAGGCUGGGUUUUUAAAUAAGACAUUUUGAUGUUAAGAUAGGUUACCUUAACUCAGUUUCAAUAAGCAAAGUAAGGAAGCAUAUCUAAAGGAAUGACCAUGUAGCAGAGCUAAAAUCUCAGAUGUCUUAUUAAUGCUGACAUAAUCUGUUAAAAAAGCAUGUCUGAGUGGAUCCUGGAGUUAUGAGAGUCAAUUGUUAUAUAUAUAUAUAUAUAUAUAUACACUGUAUACAACAGCUUUGAAACACAACCUAGAAAAAGAUGCAAAGCCAAUCAGUGGAAGGGGUUUUCAAUCACAAUUUUUCCCCCACCAUUACUUUUAUGUGUUUUGCUUCGCAAGCACUACCAAGCCUCAAUAGCAAGCCAGUAACCAACCUCAUGCUGAUGAUUUGCAUUAACAAUGAAACAGCUGUCCAUGAGUUGUUCACUGUCUUUGCAUCUUUUCCUAGAUUGUUUUUCCAAGCUGUUUUAUACAGCAAACACAGACUCAAAGGAAUCCAUGUUUAAAAUGGAAUGGGGCAAAAAUGGGAUUCUUUGUUAAACUAAUUUGCAUAUGCCCACCCAGAAUCCUUUGUGGUAGUAACAUGACUCCACAUUUGUAAUUUCUGUGGGAAAAGCAAGUCUUAUGGCUUGUGCAGAUCUAUGUUUAACAUUGUAUUAAACACACACACACUCCUGGAUCCUGUGCCAUACAUCAAUGCACUGAGUUGGCAUUGUCUAGGUGCAGCGGUCCUGUCAUUUUAAUAAUUCAAUGCAAACCAUUGCAGUAUUUUAGAAACUACAAUUUUUACAUUGCAGGGUUAAAUCUCCAUCUUAUCUUCUAGAGCCACUACAGGCACCCACUCCAGACUGAGUAAAACAUGCUCUGGGAAUCAAAUGCUGCUGAUAUCAGCAUUUGAUUGGAAAAGAUCAUGAGUGACGUCAGCUUGGAUGCGGACAUCACUGGAGAUUAAGCAGGCAGCGGCAGCAGAGGACUGGAAACGAGGUAAGUAAUCUUACUUAAAGUUAGUUUUAUUUCAAUGCAAAGGGGGGAACCUAUCAUCCUGAAAUAACAAUUGUUAUUUCCAGAACUAUAGAGUCUAGUUUAUUGCCUCACUAUAGGUUCCUAGCAGUAGGAUCUAUUUUUGAGUCCACUAUCAUACCACUAUUACAUCUCCAAAUUAAAUCAUUUUCUUAAACUUAAGAUGAAUUGACUUGUUAAUCACUAUAUUAAUAAAUUACAUUUCGGUUUGCAUCCCAAAAUGUUAUAAUGACCUCCAACAUAAUUUAAUUGAAAUAAAGAUUAAACCGUGUAGACCUGCAACUAAAUAUAUAUGUUCUAGCUUUUUUAGCUGAACAUGGUAAGUUGUUGAGGGUGUUUUGGUAUGUUUUCAAAUGCUUUAUUUGCAGUUUUCUUUAAAUUACCAAUUGUUUUAUUCACAAACUAGCUGACUCUUUAUCCAAAAAACUCAGUUGACAAAAGUCAUAUCAAGUGGCAUUAAGUUAGCUGUUACAGUUACCUAUCUAGUACUCAAGCUAAUAUCUGACUAUGAAAAUAAUUCUGUAUUAAAGUAGACAUAAAACUUAAUUGGCCUAAGUCCACCUUAAACUGAAGCAGAUAUGACUCUUGAUGCAUAUUGGCUGUUACAGCAAACGUGCCAAAUUCAGAGCCCAGUGUUUUUUUAAUCAAAUACAUUUGAUGUUUACUGUUGUUUGCUUGCUGUCCUCAUUUAGUCUUUAUCCAAGUCAGCCAAUGAGAGUAAGACCUAUAAUUGCAGACAUUGUGAGUAGAUAUGGUUGAAAGAGCUAGUCAUUUGUUCAUGAAUGGCAUGAAAUUAAUCAAGCCAAUCAAUGCACAGCAGUUGGAACUGGCCAGCUUGUAAUAAAUCUUGCAUUUUAUGAAUAUUUGACUUAUGAAUUUAUCUGCAAGCCGUCUGCUCAUCCAACAAUGGACAAAUAUGUUGCCAUUUUUAUGUAGCUCAAUAUAUUAGGAACAAUCCUCAUUACUUUUUUUUCCAAGGUAAUUUUAUAGAUGUAUUGCCUAAUUAAUCUGUGAAACUUUUAGCUCUAACGUAGAUGGUGUCACAAGGCAGCUGUAUAAACUAGUAUUAAGCAGUUAUGUGUUAACCUUCUUGUCUUAUCUAGACAUAACAUAAUUUGCUGGCAAUAUACACAGCCAGAUCAUUUCUGGGGAUGACCCAUAGCAUUCCUAUGAUGUUUUCCUGGCAAAUACACCAUUUGGUCUGCCAGGCACGGCUUUGCUAUUUUGUAAAAUAUUUUUUUAGGAUGCAUGUUGUUGCAAUAUGCUUGAAGGUAUAAAAAUAAAGGUCACAACAUUAAAGCAUAUCAUUUAAUAGUCAUAUAAGUAGUAGUACUAUACUACAAAAUAAAGCAAACAUUUAUUAACUGUUUGUUACAUAAUAUGUGAGAGAGAGAUUAAUGUCUGUUUGGUUGGGGACCAGUUAUGACGCUCUCUUGCAGCUACUUUAAAUCUUGAAGAUCCUCUGUCUUGAAGAAGAAACAAAAAAAAAUGAUACUCUACUGCUACUGAUAACUUGUAUGAAGAAUUGACUGUUUUGUCACAAUAGUUAAACUGUUUCCUUAUUUCUGGGAGCAAACCCGAUCAGUGGAAGUUAUGGGUUGAUAGAAAAGGAGGUAGAGCAGCUUGCUGUGUUAAAUAGUGGUUAUAGAAUCCCUUAAAAAUAUCAUUAGCUUCCCUAUUCCAUGGGCCACAUGAUUUGAAAACAAGUGGGGGUCAGCCAUUUAAGUAUAUUAACCUUCAUCAAUUCACAUAGUUGGUGAGAUAAUUGAAACAAUUUAAAUAUUCCCAGAUUAGAGGAAUUCAUUUUUAACAUUUUAAUUUUAUUUUUUUCAGUGCUUCAUGAGCAGUUCAUAGUGGUGAUGGAGAUGAGGUAACCUUCCAUGAGUUUAUCUUUUUUCUUUUUUUUUUAACAUUCUUUAUUUAGAUUUUUGAAUAUAUUGCUUGUAAUCGGUGAUAACAUACCAUUAAAACAGUCUGGUGCAGAAAGAAAAAGGAUAAAACAUAACCAAGAUGCGAUAAGUUAGAUCGCAUAACAGGGUUGUCGCAGUAAUUGUACAUUAUACAAUAAACAGUGUUUAACACUAUGCUAUUCCUAUUUUGUGUACUUGGUUGCAGCAGAUUCUGGGUACAGUGUAAGUGAACAAUGUUAUAGGAUAGAAUAAAAUAUGUUAAAAUUUAUUAGCGUUGUAAUACAUAGUAUUUCCAUUUCCUAACUAGAGCAAAUGGGCUUCCGUUCACCUGGUAUUUGUAGUGUCCACUCUGGGUUCCGAGUAACAUACAUGACUCGACCAGAGUUUUCCAUUGUAGGGUGCGUGCCCAUCGCUGCUAGGGGUAAGGGCUGAGGUUGAUGGCCAAGCGGGCCUUGUGAUUUCUGGAUAGUACUACGUGGUAAGUGGUGGUCUUGGGAAGUUCUGUUCAUUGAGUGCCACCUUGGUGAGGAAGGUCUGUAUGUGCCGUGUAAUGUUGUAGCUUGAGAUGGUGAUUGGUGGGGUUAGGUGUCUCUGACAGAGGUGGGGAAAGGUAGGACUGAGAGGGGUUGAGUGGUGGAGUGGGACAGGUUUUCAGUAUCAGUUGGAGCACAUGGCUGCGCCCAUGCAGCCACCUGGGCCCUAUGUGGGAAUUGGGAACUCUAUGAGCCAAGGAUCCCAUAUCUUGUCACAACGUUUGGUCCUGUCAUGGAUAAGGGAUAACAUCCCAUCCAUUUUUCUGCCCUUGUCUAUCCUUUUUUUCACAUCAUCUAUAGUCGGGACUGUGGCAGCACCCCAAUGUGUUGCAAUGGAUCUCCUGGUUGCUAAUGCUAGUUUGGCCAGUAGUUUACUUUGUGCCCAAGGUAUGUCUUUUAAGGGUUUAGAGAGCAUCCAUAGCCAAGGGUCCCUGGGCAUGGUCGUGUGUAGCAUUUUAGAGGCUAAGGUAGUUACUUCUGACCAUAUUUCGAGUUAUUUGGUGGCACUCCCACCACAGGUGGUAGCGUGUCCCCUUUUGUCCGCAUCCUUUCCUGCAUAGGUCAGAUGUGGACAUCCCGAUCUGUUUUAAUUUUAGAGGAGUAAGGUACCACCACAUUAGAGUCUUAUAAGCCUGUUCUUUGUGGUUAACACAGAUUGUGACCGUUGCUGUGGCCUCCGAGAUAGCCGUCCAAUCUGAGGGGUCUACUGGAGGGCCCAAGUCCCUUUCCCAAGCCAAGAUAUAGGAUAGUGGCAUGGUUUGGGUGGAUAUGAUCAGGUGGGAGUAGAUCUAAGAGAUCUGACUCCUUUGUACGGGGCAUUGAAUGCAUAUUUGUUCGAAGACCUUGAGGGAGGUUUGUCCUGCUUUGUUGUACCCAGUGUUGUCUAGGAAGUUUCUAAUUUGUAUAUAUCAGAAGUGGUCAUAGGUAGUGAGUGGUGUAGUCUGAGGUAAUUCUGUGAACGGGAUUAGCUGUUGGUUUCGGUAAAACUGGUAAAAUCGGUGAAUGUCAUUAUCAUCAAAGUGGGCAAAGUCACGCAGGUUCAUGCCCGGUGCAAAGUUUUCAUUUCUCAGGAUUGGUGUGAGGCACGAUGGGUUUGUCAUGAAGGCAUGUUUUAUUGAGAGUUUGUUCCAUAUAUCUUAAUGAAGGUGGUUAGAGCUGGGGUGGUCUGUGGGAGUUGGGGUCGUGCCUGUUUUGGGAGCCAGAUGUAUAAGGAGGAAAAGUCCCUGCCGAAUAAGUCGUGCUCUAGGUCAACCCAUCUUUUCAGCCCGGCUGGGACUUGUAGGGUCUGGAACUGUGCCAGCUGUGCCGCAUGAAAGUAAUGUAAGAGGUGCAGUAAGCCCAGUCCUCCUAAUUAUAUUAUAUAUUAUAAGAUGGGCCUCCCCUUUUAUUGGCCCAUAUAAAUGUAUCUAUCUGGGUCUGCAGUUGUUUGAAGUCCUUGAUAGAGACUUGAACCAGUAGUGUCUGAAAUAAAUAUAAUAAUUAUAUAGAGGCCAUUCGUCCUGGCCAGGAUAUAGAGAGGCCUUCCCAGUUCUUAAUAUCGUUUGUCGCUUUUUUCAAUAGUGGGACAUAGUUGAGGUUGUAAGUUUGGGAUACGUCCGCUGGGAGGUUAUUGCCAAGAUAGUGGAUGUGUGUUGUGUUGUACCAGAAUGGGUAGGUAGUUAGAAAGGUGGACAUUGUUCCUUUGGGAAUUUGGACCGGUAGUGCCUCAGUUUUGUCUAGAUUUAGGCGGCAGCCUGAGACUUCCGAGUAUCUGUCCAAUGCUUUAAAUAGCUGUGGAAGUGAGCGUGUUGGUUCCAUGAGGGUUAGAAGUAGGUCAUCUGCAUAACCCACAACCUUGUAUUCUUUGCUCCGUAUGCUUAAUCCUGUGAUGUGGGGGUCAAAUCUUAUGGCCUGGUGGAGGGAUUCUAAUGAUAGUGCGAACAAGACUGGAGAGAGGGGGCACCCCUGUCUUGUGCCGUUGAAAAUGUGGCAAGAGGGUGGGUGUGCAUUUGAGAUGAGAAGGUUAGCCUCCGGAGUGGAGUAUAGGGUCUGGAGUACUUCGAGCAAAGCUUGAGGGAACCGGAAAUUGCGAAGUGUUGUGAACAGGAAGGGCUAUAAUAGGCGAUUGAACGCCUUUUCGGCGUCUAGUGAUAAAAAGAGUGUGGGUAUCUGUGACGAGACCAAUCUCGCCACAUUGCAUUGGAGAAGCCUGGUUGCUCGCCUGCUGCCUUUGGACUAUGGCCCCCUUUUAAAAGACUUUAUUUUGCCUGCAGAAAAGCUGUAUUCGUGCUUUUCUGCCGGUUGUUCGGUAGUUUCAAUCUACCGAACAACCGUACGAAUGACUGGACCACCUGGGAGCUGGAGUGUGCCGGCAAUUAACCUCCCUGAAGCUGCGGUUAACCGCAGCUUAAUUGAUGAAUGCUGGGUGGCCGCCAUUCGUAUCCCGAACACGAGGUCGCGGCCAUUUUAAACAUACGAAUGCACAGCGGUGUUCGCCUCUAUUUUCAUGGAACUAAAAUCGGACACAGUUUUGCGCGAACACCGCUGAAGCCGCCAACCUCCCUUCUUGUUCGGUGAAAGUGCACGAACGGCCCGGUGUUCGGUAUUUUUGUUCAAAUAUGUUAUACCCCAGAUAGGAAUCCAUGGCGAUUAAACUGUAUUCGUGUGGUCUGAGUGCCAUUCACCUAAUAAUGUGCACUCAGACCUGAGCUAUCUGGGGAUAUGUUACAUGUCUGUGUUUUGUGGAAUAAAUGUUACUUUGUGUAUUUUAAAGUAUAAUGCUGGUUUUGUGUCCCCACAUGUGUAAUGGAGUUUUGCCUUUGUCUUGGGAGAUCAUUGAGUUACUUCCCAAUUAUCUCCCAGGGCAGAGGGGAGGAAGCCAGGAUGCAUUGUGGGAGAUACUGUGACUGUGUGUCCUAUUUGUCUAAUUGUCUGUCCCUUGUCACAGUCUCCCAUUUGGUCCCCUAGGGGAGUGUCCACCAGGUGGGAGACCUGCAUAAAUACUGGGCAGGUAGCCCUCAUUAAACAGACCACUGCUUGACCCUCAACACGGAGCUCUGUCUCGUCUUUGGGGGGAUUUACUGUAUGCUGCUAAGGACUGAUUGCCAGGAGUGUAAGCCGCUUGGGAGCUUUUCCUGUUCGUCUGGUAGCAGCAAUUCGUAUGGUUCCUGUUCGUGUAUUUGGAGUGCUAUCUUAUUCCCUUGUAUGCCGUUCGGGAGUUUGGAGCAUUCACUUGUAUGCAGUUCGAGAGUUUGGAGCAUUCACUUGUAUGCAGUUCGAGAGUUUGGAGCAUUCACUUGUAUGCAGUUCGAGUGUUUGGACCAUUCCCUUGUAUGCAGUUCGAGUGUUUGGAGCAUUCCCUUGUAUGCCGUUCGGGAGUUUGGAGCAUUCACUUGUAUUCAGUUCGUGAGUUUUGGUGAUUCUACAGUAGCUGUGCCUGUCUCUGAAAGGGGAUUAUCGUCUAAGCGUUUUUUUCCCCUUUUGUGCAAAACGGUCCGUUACAAUUGGUGGCAAGCGUUGGGAUCGUUCCCACAGACUACAGGACAGCUACAGGUGACACCAUUCCGUGGAUUUUUACAAUUUGAGGGCAACGCAUGUCCCAGUACAGCAACCCUGACAGCAACAGCAUGGAACCAGCAGUGUCAUACGAGGAGGAGGACCUGGAUGGCCGGGAUGCAUUAAGGAAAGGCAUCUGGUACCAGGCCCUGGAUAAUGUACAGUACCAGCGGGGUGAAAGUCUCCCCAGUGAAGAGCAGCAGUUGCAGAAGCAAGUGGCCCUGCGGAUGCCCUUCCUGGGAGAGCAGCCCCUAGAUGAAUGGGUGAAGGAAUUGGAGCACCGGGUAUGGCAGGAGAUUUGGCUGGAAGAUGCAUACCAGGCGCUCUGGUGGUAUGGGGCACAGUACCUGCCCUGGACAGCCGAGCAUGACAAGCCAGAAGGAGAGGAGUUUGAUGGUCCUGGCUUGUUAUGGGAGGCUUUUUCAGAGCCUGAAUUUGGGAGCCCUACACAAGCCCGGUUCAGUGAUCUCUUGGAGUGGAGGGAGAGCAGGUAUGACUGGGACGACACUCACGACAUUGAGCAAGACCUGGCUCACCUAGCAACCCUGGAGUGGGAACUGGAGCAGGACUACCGAGAUCUCUUCCACUCCAUUGAGAAGAUUCAGCAGGACAGCAAGGUGACAGAUCCAGUUCCAGACCCAUUCAGAGGGGACGAGAUGGUACAGUUUUACUGGGAAGAACCCCAGGUGGCCGGUAGAGAUGGGACCGAGGUCUCUCCACCGGUCCUGCAGGGAAUUGGGAGCCCAGUCUCCAUUCCCCAGCGGCAGUGUAAAGUGCAGGGAGAGGAGAGCAGUAUCCUCCCUCCCCAGCGGCAGGCUGAGUUACAGGGGGCAGAGGUAGUUGUUCCUGCCCCCAGCAGCCAGAGUGUAAAGUGCAGGGAGAGGAGAGCAGCGUCCUCCCUCCCCAGCGGGGAGGGCAGUGUAGUGCAGGGGGCAGGAGAACAGCGUUGUCCUGCCCCCCAGCAGCCAAGUGAUAUGCCGGGACGGCAGUGUGAAGUCCAGGGAGAGGAGAGCAGUGUCCUCCCUCCCCAGCGGCAGCGUGAUUUUUUGGGAAUUGGGAGCCCAGUCUCCAUUCCCCAGCGGCAGUAUGAUGUUUUGGGAAUUACAUAGUUACAUAGUUACAUAGCUGAAAAGAGACUUGCGUCCAUCAAGUUCAGCCUUCCUCACAUUUGUUUUUUGCUGUUGAUCCAAAAGAAGGCAAAAACCCAGUUUGAAGCACAAUUUUGCAACAAGCUAGGAAAAAAAUUCCUUCUUGACCCCAGAAUGGCAGUCAGAUUUAUCCUUGGAUCAAGCAGUUAUUACCCUACAUUGAAAGAUUAUAUCCUUGAAUAUUCUGUUCUUGCAAGUAUGCAUCUAGUAGCCGUUUGAACAUCUGUAUGGACUCUGAUAAAACCACUUCUUCAGGCAGAGAAUUCCACAUCCUGAUUGUUCUUACAGUAAAAAAACCUUUCCUUUGCCUUAGACGAAAUCUUCUUUCUUCCAGUCUAAACGCAUGGCCUCGUGUCCUAUGUAAAGUCCGGUUUGUGAAUAGAUUUCCACACAAUGGUUUGUAUUGGCCCCGAAUAUAUUUGUAUAAUGUUAUCAUAUCCCCUCUCAGGCGACGUUUUUCUAAACUAAAUAGGUUUAAAUUUGUUAACCUUUCUUCAUAGCCGAUAUGUUCCAUUCCUUUUAUUAAUUUUGUAGCCCGCCUCUGCACUUUUUCUAGUGCCAUAAUAUCCUUCUUUAGAACAGGUGCCCAAAAUUGCACAGCAUAUUCAAUAUGGGGUCUUACCAGUGAUUUAUAAAGAGGCAAAAUUAUAUUCUUGUCCCGAGAAUGAAUGCCCUUUUUCAUGCAUGACAAUACCUUACUGGCCUUGGCCACUGCUGAUUGACAUUGCACAUUGUUGCAUAGUUUGUUGUCUAUAACAAUUCCCAAGUCCUUUUCAUGUGUUGUUAUCCCUAAUUCGCUUCCAUUAAGGGUAUACGUUGCUUGUGUAUUCUUUACGCCGAAGUGCAUAACUUUGCAUUUUUCAACAUUAAAUUUCAUCUGCCAUUUGAGUGCCCAGUCCCCCAGUCUAUCUAAAUCCCUCUGCAGCAAAGUAAUAUCUUGCUCACAUUGUAUUGUUUUACAAAGUUUUGUGUCAUCUGCAAACACUGAAACAUGACUUUCAAUGCGGUCUUCAAGAUCAUUUAUAAACAUGUUAAAUAGAAGGGGUCCCAGAACAGACCCCUGAGGGACACCACUUGCCACCUCUGUCCAGCUUGAAAAUUUACCAUUAAUGACAACUCUUUGUACUCUGUUUUUAAGCCAAUGUUCUACCCAAGAACAAGCAUUUUCAUCUAGACCGAUUUCCUUGAGUUUGAACACUAAUCUAUUGUGUGGAACUGUAUCAAAUGCCCAGUCUGGGAGCCCAGUCUCCAUUACCCAGCGGCAGUAUGAUGUUUUGGGAAUUGGGAGCCCAGUCUCCAUUCCCCAGCGGCAGCACAGAUUAUUGGGAAUUGGGAGCCCUGUCUCCAUUCCCCAGCGGCAGAGUGUCCUACCGGGAAUAGAGAGCCCAGUCUCCUUUCCCCAGCAGCAGGACUCUGUAUUGGGAGCAGAGACAGUCGGUCUCCCUCCCCCGCAGCUGGAAGUAUGUAUGGGAGAGGAGCUUGUUACCCCCUCUCCCCAGCGGCAGCUUAAUGUACCCGGGGGAGACAGUAAGCCCCACAACUGUGCAGAUGGGACCGUAGUCUCUACAUUGCCAGCACAGGGGGUAGGGACGGUCGGUUCUGCCCCCCAGCGACAGGGCUGUUUAGCCAAAGGGGAGACAGUCGGUCUCCCCCUCCAGCAGCAGAGAUGGGUAACCAAAGGGGAGACAGUCGAUCUCCAGCAGCAGGACUAUGUAUCUAAAGGGGAGACAGUCAGUCUCCAGCAGCAGAGCGGUGUAUUUAAAGGGGAGACAGUCGGUCUCCCCCUCCAACAACCAGGCUUCAACCAGGCUACCCUCCCAGUAGCGCUGGCAACAGGGCAGAGUGCCGCUGGUCUCUGCCCACGCAGCAACCCACCAAGUCAGCGUACCCGUACCCAGCACAGCCGUGGUGAGGCACCUGGACAUGGACAAGCUUCUCCUUUACCCAGGUGUAGUAACCAUUUAUUGUGGAUGGGCUGUGCUGUUGAUUAUGUUUUGUGGGUGGGCUGUUGGACUAACAAGGGCACUGACCGGCAGGAGGUCAGAUACCCUGUUAGUCUGUUUGGAAAAGGGGAGAGAUGUGACGAGACCAAUCUCGCCACAUUGCAUUGGAGAAGCCUGGUUGCUCGCUUGCUGCCUUUGGACUAUGGCCCCCUUUUAAAAGACUUUAUUUUGCCUGCAGAAAAGCUGUAUUCGUGCUUUUCUGCCUGGGGUUCGGUAGAUUCAAUCUACCGAACAACCGUACGAAUGACUGGACCACCUGGGAGCUGGAGUGUGCCGGCAAUUAACCUCCCUGAAGCUGCGGUUAACCGCAGCUUAAUUGAUGAAUUGAUGAAAACAAGAAAAAAAUUGAAUUCAAACAGCAACAGGGAAACAUCGGUUUGACUUAAUCCGGCAUGCAUUUUAACUUCUUUGACAUCACAAGUAUGGGCAGAAGCUAUGCAUCGCUAUUGCAGAAAAGGGGGUCCCUAUGCCAGACUCUGGGGGUAAAGAAGCCUUUUGUGGGGGUAGAAAUCAUCAUCAUCAGUGGAAGGGGGAUAUGCCCUCGCUGAAUCACAUUAGUUCAACAAGGAGCAGGAUGCUUCAGACAACAAAGGCAUCUUUCUAAGCUGCUCUGUGGGCCUACAAGGUAUUUAAAGCUGCACCUUGUAUUUUAACCUUGGAGGAGACUUAGGAUAUAAAAGGGAAUCUAAUCAUAUUUCUAGUGUAACUGUCCCCUAUAGUGUUGAUAAGAUUUUCAAGCUUUCUCUGUACAUUUCCUAUAUAUUAUGUAACGUACAUAUUGUAAAUUGCAGAAUGUUAUCCCAAAUGAAUGGUGAGAUCUGUUUUACCCACAAUCUACCUAUGGUGCCUGCCAAAGUCAAACUGGAUUAAUUCAAACAUUUCUAGGCCCCACUCCCCUCUAGAAAUCUUUCCGAUAGUGGGAUUGUUAACCCUGAAGUAUCUCAAAUCACAAUCCGUGCCAUUAACAUUUUCUCAUGCGUUUUUUCCCCCUUUCCUUUCUAUUUUUUCCCUUUUUUUCCCCUUUUUCUUUCCUUCCCCUUUUUUUGAAAUAAUUAUGGGCAACUGUUUCUGGUUUCUGUAAGGUGUAGGAUGAAAGUGGAAUGUAAAACAAAAGAAUAAUAAAUAAUAAUAAAAAAAUAAUAUUAAAACAACUAAUAAACACCCUGAACUCCUAUUUUGUUUCCCCUCUUAUCUAAAAAGGCAGAUUGGGCUUAAAUUACAUUCUGCUUCCUCAAUUGCAGAAAAUAAGUUCACCACCACAUCUACCUAGCCAAGUGCAAAGGGAAUCACAGAGUCAAUAUAAUUUCCCAGGACAGGAUCAAUAUUAGGUAUGAAACACUGGCAGGACAUACAGCAUCAAAGUUGUCCUCUCACGAAGAAAGAACUAAUAGCAGUGACAUGCUUAAUCGGUAAAAAGAUUGAUGACGGGAUAUCUUUAUAAAUACAGUAACAUUUUAGACUAUGGAACUGAUCAUCAAUAAUCACCAGGAAACAAUUCAAUUAUUUCACAGCCCGAAGUGUGGCAUUCGUUUGGGUGGACAUUUGUCAUUAGUUCAAUUUAAUGUGGUUAUCGCUGGAAAGCUUAAGGGGCGAGAGGGAGUCAAAAAAGGGAGUUGGGAACACAAAAGAAAGAAACAUAUAUAUUUACUGCACACCGUGUAUAUUCGUGAACAAAAAAUAGGAAAUUUACUUUCAUGUUUGGGAGCAACAUAGGUUGCUCAAUCCACAAGGCAUAGUUGGUUUAUAACUCCACCAAGGAUACAAUGUUAGGAUACAGAAAAUUAGAAAUAGGUCCAGGAUAAGAGCUAAAAAACAUGAUUUCACUAUAAAAACAAUAAAAAGGGGAUUGUACCGCUCAGAUGCACAUAUUGGGAAUUCUACUUCUCAGACGCUCAUAUUAGAGCUUCUUCGCUCUGAAAAGUGUAAGUGCACUGAUGUAUCUCUAUUGAUCCAUUAACAGAAAUGACUUAAUUGCAUGAUCUCUCAAAUAAUGGCCUAAGUUCUCACUCAUAGCAAAUCUUUAACCUCAGCACUGGAAAAGAAAAAGGGGCACAUUUCUAAAUGUUGGACACCUUUUUAUAUUUACACCACCUUUCUAUUAAAUCACUUGCAUAAAUAUCUAUAAAUCCAUUUUCAUGUUUUUAUAUUGGCAAUAUUUUGAAUACUUACAAAUCAACAGUUAUUGAUGUCAUGAAAAAUGAAAUAGUUUUCACUGCCUGAAAAAUAUAAUCCAAGUUGAAAAUAUACAACUUGAUGCUAUUUUGUAGAAUACAAAGGAAUAUUAAAUUAUGGGAAGAUCUUUUCAACCCUAGACUCAAUACUGAUGUACUGCUGCAGCUGGAUCAAAAAUGUAAUAAUAUGUAGUCUGCUUGCCCCGUCUGCUUUGUUCUGUUAUACUCCCAGAAGUGAAUUAAGCCAUUGAAAGGAUUUACAUUUCUUCAGAGAAUUCGUUCUAGAGAGAAAGCAUACUUUGCAAAUGUUUUUUCAAACUCCUAAUGAUUACUUCUGAUAGUGAAAUUUUACCCUGGGAUAUCUGUGUAAAUAUCAGCUUAUAACGCUAUUGCAUGAACAAAUUCUAAACGAAAAAUAAUGCAACUGGGUGGAUGUAACUACUAGAAAAUGAAUACUAUAUCAGUUUAGUUUUACAUUUAAUUCACAAGCCAUAACCACUAAACCACUUACACUAAACAUAUGUGUAAAGAAUUACAUUACGUUUUUAUAAAUAUGACCUUAAUCUCUUUUGGACAUUCAUUACACGAGUUGUAGUUAUACGUUUUAAAAUAUCUCUGUGUAGACAUUCAAAAAGCAGGGAAUACAGGCAGAAUAAAUCUAUACUGAUAUUUAAACUGGAGGUAAUGAUCUGUGUUCUAAGUUGAAUGGUAAUUCAGGCUUCUAAUUACUAAAUGUUUGGCCUUAUAUUUGUAAUUAGUAACUUAUUUUUCCUCUUUUUGGUUCAUAUGCUUCCUUUGGUAUUAUGCAAAAGUCUGUGUAUUUAUAACUGCAAAACUGCUCUAAAAAUACAAAUAAAAGAAGAAAACAGUUCAAUCAUUCUGAAUUAGAUUUACGAGAAUGACACAUUCCUUAUCGGACGUCUACCCAAACAACAGUAUUUAUCUCCAAAUCCUGAUUGUACCAUUCAUCAUAUAGAUUGUCUCUCUUAGAAUCCUAACAAAAGGCAACAACAAUUUAAAGGGCUUAUGUACACAUUUUAUAGAUAUAUAAAUUAAUUAAUUAUCCUUAUGUAAAAACAAAGUGAAAUAAUGUAUUCUAAGUACAGUCAACACCAAACUAUCCCUUAUUUCUUCCACUGAAAAAUAAAUCUGGGUAAAUCUUCUUGCAUGAGAGAUUAAACAAACAACCCUUUGUACAUACAUUUCAUCCUGUUAUAUGCGUUGGUAGUAACGAUGACUGUAGUUCCUUAACAUGACCACUUGUGCUGUCUAUAGUGGUAUCAGAAUGUAUAUCUAGAUUAUAUGUUUCACAGUACAGGGAUACAUAUCUCUUUGACUCUGCUUCACCAACCUCUAAUCUUUCUAGAAUUAUUAGUCAUUUCAAAGCUACAGAUGGUAGAGUAUAGCUUAAAGAUCUUAUUAAUUUCAUGGAUGAAAAGAACUGUAGAAGAAAUCCAUGAAAAAAUUCUGCAUAUGAGCAAUAAACAGUAUAUUGAUUAUGUAUUUUUAAAUUAAUUAUCAUUAUAAUUAUUUACAGCGUUUUCCAUUUUCAUUCAUACUUUGUAUAAAUGUAAAUAAAUAAACUGGAUGUUGGAACGUCUUAUACGUCUCUCAUAAAUGAUUCUUCUGAUAUUUUUUUUUGGGGGGGGGGGGGUUGAAUAUAAUUCUAGAGCAUUUAAAUGCUGCAGAUGUAAUAAAGAUAUAGAAUUACAGUUCAAAUCAGCCAUUUUGACUGUGACUUGAGAAAAUGACUCCAUGAACUCAGUGUGAGAGUUUCACAGAGAAACCAUGUGACUACUUUAGAUGUUACACAUCAUUUCUAUGACUUGACAUGUCUGUCUUAAUAGUAUAAUUUGAAUAUUGGGCCAGAUAAUUGUAUAUUACAUUAUAAGGACAAGUUUAAUAUCUAUAAAUAGAAAUAGGCAAAAAGUUUUACUUUUCCUAGUAAGAACUCUUACACAAAACUUGUAGAGUCUACAAUCUGAAUAUUUUUGUCAGCUUCACAAUGAAUGUAAAAUGGAUGCUGUCCAGGAGGUGGGAGGGUCUGGGAGGGAGGGUCUGCUGCUGAUUGGCUGGAAUGUGUCUGCUGACUGUGAGGUACAGGGUCAAAGUUUACUCAAUGAUGACAAAUAGGGGGCGGACCGAACAGCGCAUAUGUUCGCCAUCCGUGGCGAACCGUUCGACGAACCGUUCGGGACAUCACUAAUCAUUAUAUAUUCAAUACCAUGUACUCAUCACCUGUAGACCUCGAUGCACUGUACAUAGGGCUGGCAAACCCCUAAUCCAUAUAACAGCAAAGUAGUCCCGGCACUCAAGCUCUUCAUACAUCAGUAGAUUUAUUGAAAAAACAUGACAGAUACAGCAACGUUUCGAUCCCUCUUUUGUAUCACUGGAUAAAUGUUAAGCACUUACCAUUUUGAGGUCUUGAUUUUUUGGUAAAGUGAUCUUGCAUGUACCUUGGUGUUGAAAGGUCUGCAUUGGACAUUUGGGAACCCUUACAAAAAAGUAUUAUUUUUUUAACUUUAUUUUUUAUAGUACAACAGAAAAAUAAUUGUAUACUGAUAGAAUAAAUGAGCAUGACAAUACAUUGUGUUUGAUAAUUAAGCACCCCUGUUAGAUCACAGUUCCUGCAAUACAAAGGCUUAGGAUAUUUAUGUAAGCUGCUACAGUGGAUGAGAGAAGUACCAGAUGUCUCAGCACAGCUCAUUUUCAGUAUCUCUGAAAGUUAUGCAUAAACUGACUUACAAUCUUAUAUUUUCCUUUUCUUUUCUCUUACUUCCACUAUUGCCUGCUCUCAUCCAUGUAGUUGCUAACUUUUAUUUUUAUGUGUAGUCAUCCCUUUAUAAUGUUGCUAUAUGAUUUAUUCUUGUGUUAUGCUUUGCACUUAGCCUUGAAUAUUUCUUAAAACUAUUUAAAUAAAUAUAUAUAUAUAUAUAUAUUUAAAUUAAUACUAAUCCUUUUAAUGUUCCUUAUUUACUACAAGUGCUUAGGAUCUCCUGAUUUAGCACUGAUGUCCACAAAAAUCAAUGACUCAAACAUCUUACCUAUGCUUGUCCUCCUCCAAUGGGAUAGUUGAACCCCAAAAAGCCUUGCUGCACAGGGAAAACAAGCAUAAAAAGGGAAGGCAGAAGAAAGAAGAGGUUAUUACAUGAACAGUAUAUUAAAAUAGCAAACGUCUAUCUAACUGUCAGUCCAUCCUUCUUUUGUCUGUCUGUUUCUGUCAGCUUACCUAUCUGUCUCUAUCUAAUUCUGUCAAUUUAUUUAUCUCUCUCUCUCUACUUUUUUUUAUCAUGAACGUAUUGAACCUGCCUGGUUUCUACUCUUGAUAGUUUUUACUACAAGAAAAAGGCAAGUGCAGCGUUUUCCACAAGAAUGUUAUAUAAGGCAUAACAAAUGUGAAAUAUAUUCUAUUGCAGAUGAUCAGUCAGCUGUGAAUUUAGCACCCGCAAGACGGACAGCUCUAAUGUAUGAAUAAUAUUAUGUGGCAGCUGGGACUUCUAUUAGAAAACGGAACUAUUUGACAGCUGUAAUUUUGAAGUGCUCUUGCAUGGAAUAUUUGUUAAACACUUAACAAAAGGAUGCUUGACUUGGCUUUUGUUUAUUAUAUGAUUAAACAUGAAACCAGUCUCUCUGAGAUAGAUUAUGUAUGGAGAAAACAUAUCUAAAUUUAGAAAUAUAUAUUUCACCCAUAAACACUUUGUUCAAAAAACUACCAGGCAUUGAAAUAAAUAUAGUAAGAAGACCAUGUUUGAUUUUAUAAAAAUAUAAAAGGCAUUUAAAGGAAACUUGUCACUAUUUUGCUAGAUAAAAAAUAAAAUCAUGUUUCUUAAUUACUUUAAAUAGGAAAUAACUUUUGACUUGAUUUUUAUUGCUAUCCCAGAUAACCCAAUAGGUCCAACGUUGCCUAGAAUAUUUGUGAACUCCCUUUUUAGUACAUGGCUGUUCUGACUGAUAGAAGCCUGCUACAAAUCUGCAUGCCUAUUUGACAGGUUUGGAAGCCCAAAUGGCAUCUAAAAUGUUUUAUGUACGAUUUCAUUGCUAGAGACAAUAUUUGAAGCAAAUCCAUUUAGAUCUUAUUAGCUAUUUACCAGCCAAAAUAGUUGACUAAGAGGAAGAUCCCAAUUGGAAGGAAGUAAAGAGAAACAAGGGGAAAGACGAUAUUUAAUCAUUUAAAAAGGCUAUUACAAUGAACAUUACUAUGAAAGGGUUCACAUUAUUAUUAUUAUUAAUUAAAAAAAGGAUUUUUGACUUGCACUAGUAGCAAUGUAGUUUGAAUUUGAUCCAGUGAAAGCACGUUAAAAUAAAUGACAUUUAUGAUAAAAUACAUAUUUGUUUAAAUGCACAGUAUACCUUAUUCAUUUUUGCACUAGCGAUAUGUAAAAAAAAAUCUGUCAUUUUCAUUGAUCCAUUUUACUGAUCUUCAAAAGCAAAUAAGUGUUUUUUAAAUGCACACCAGCUGUCAGAAGACACUACACUCCAGAGUCCAAUCUGCCUUUGCACUGUCAAACAGAUGUUAAUCUCAUGGAGACGUUGGCUUGGUGGAUCUUUAAAUUCAAAUGUUAAUUACUUUCUAAGGAGAGAAAAAUAAAAGCACUUUAUAUUUUAUGAGAUCUAUAUUAGCUAAAUAUCCAUUACAACUUUGCAAAGGAGAACUUUUGUUAUUUGGUGCAACACAACAAAAAGUCACAAUAGUUUCCAUAUUAGACAUAAGAUGUAAAGCCAGUGAAACACAGAUUCAAAGGGUGGAGAUGAAAAAAGUACUGUUUUUCAUGAUUAUCAUAAUGUUACAAAAAAGUCAGAAUCAUUUGAAAUUGGAUCUUAAUUGUUUUAUAAUGCUAGUCUAUGAGCACUAUAAUGCUAGUCUAUGAGCACUUUACAGAAUAGACAAAAAGUUGCAGGUAAACAAAUAAAAGGCGGAUAUGAGGAAUAUUUUUUUCAAAUAUUGCCCAGGAAAGCUUUUUUUUUUGUCAGCAUUUUCUUGCACUUACUUUUACUCAGCUUCCCUUGAAAGAAAAGUCAUCAUUAUCUUAAACCAGGUUCCAGGCACCCUGUUGGUCACUUGAUCUGUGAAUAAAAUAAACAAUUACUGAUUGUCAUUUAACUAUCAAUCGUCUUUAUUUCCCAUGAAUUAUCUUCUUUUUUUCCCCCACUAGCAGAAUUCUGAAUCACAAAUGAAAAUGAACAUGAUUGUCCAUUUUUUUCUUGUGAAUUUCAAUGGGUUUGUGAUUCACUUACUUGGAGUUUGAAAAUGAAGACAAUGACCCUAAUUUCGAUGAAUUGUGGUUCAGAAUGAAACAAAUCUUCAAGUCUAGUAAAAAGGUCUGGGCAUCCCUAUGUGAAUCAGUCACUGUGUAUCAGUAACAGUAAACUGUAAAAUAUAUUUGUGCAUAUUAUUCUUUAUUUUAUAAAUAAAGUUAAAUUACAGAAACAAACUCAUCCUAAACUAAUGCUAAACAGAAAGUUUUUAAACUUUACAUAUUAUUAAAGGACACUAAAGUCACUCACGAUGGAGUCAUUUUAACUAUUCCAUGUAAAAAUUGCCGUUUUGUGGAAACAGUAAUGUUAACAUAGAAGGGUUGAAUGCACCUCUGUCUUGUUAACAGUCAUUAGAGGUGCCUUUGCCUCCUUAGUCAAUUUAAACUCACCUAUUCAAUCAGAUGAUCUCCUAGACAGCUUUUGGUUGGUGCAAUAUAGCAUUUUGUAGCAUACACACACCAGCCCCCAAAUGCUUCUCUAUAGGUAAACAUUAGAUUGGCUGCAAUCACCAGCCAAGGAUGCAGAGCAACUGCAGUGAGGUAGUAGAGGAUAAUAAAACUGACCUUUUAGACCCAGGGAGUGUCAACCUAUAAAUAAGAGAACAUUAUAGCAUUCGGAAUACACAUUUGCAUUUCUAAUACUUAUGUCUCAGAAAGUACAGAGAAUUGUCAUUAAUAGUAAAUUUUCAAGCUUGACAAAAGUGAUAAGUGAUGUCCCUCAUGGUCUUGUUCUGGGUCUACUUCUAUUAAAGAUAUUUGUAAAUAAUCUUAAAGUAUGCUUUGAAAGCCAUGUUUUAGUGUUUGCAGUUAGUUGACACAAAACUCUAUAAAGUAAUAAAAUGUGAGCAGGAUAUUGGUUUGCUGCAGAGGGAUUUAGAUAGAUUGGGGGACUGGGCACUUCGGGGUAAAGAAUGUAAAGAAAGCAACUUACACCCUAAAUUGUAGGAUAUUAUAACACUAACAAAAAUGCAGAGGUAAGCUACAAAUUUGAUAAUAUGAAUGAAUCAUUUUAGUUAUGAAGAGAGGUUAACAUAUUUAAAUGCCUUUAGUUUGGAAAAAUGGCACUUCAUAGGGGAUAUAAUAGCAUUAUACAAAUAUAUUCUGGGCCAAAACAAACUAUUGUCUGUAAAUCUGUUCGUAAACAGGGCUAUACAUAGGACACGAUAUCACACAUUUAGACUAGAAGAAAGGAGACUUAGCCUAAGGCAAAGGAAAUACCAAAAAGGAUGUGCAAUCCUCAGCCUGAAGAGGUGGUUAUAUCAGAGUCUAUACAGAUGUUUAAAAAGCAAUUGGAUAAAUACUUGUAAAAACAUAUUAUACAGGUAUAUAAUUUUUAAUUAGUGGGGUAAUAGCAUUUUGACACAAGGAGAUAUGUGACUGCAAUUCUAGGGUCAAGAAGGAUUUUUUCCUAAUUUGCUGCAAAAUAGUUGUUUUGCCUUCUUUUGGAUCAAUAGCAAAAACAAAUGUGAGAAAUACUGAACUUGGUGGACACAAGUCUCUUCUCAGCUAUGUAACUAUGUAUCCUUUAAAGAAAAAUAAUAUACAUGUAUUAAGGUUUUCGUGUUUUAUUGUAUUAUCUCUGACAUUCCUAGAUUCCAAGUGACUUAGAAAACAUUUUUAUAUCUAGGAGUAAACCCGACACCAAUAUUUUUCUUACCUGGAUAUAGUCAGAACAUUACAUUAAUCAAAAAAUUCAGUGUUUCAAAAUACAAUAUAUAUGGUAUACAGUAAAAUAAAAUCAUGCUGAUCUUUUCACUUUUUAAUUUGACUGUGAAGUAUAUUUAGUGGCUUUUUCUUUAUUCUGUUUAUUACAUUGCGUUUCUUCCAGUUUAAAAUUGAUUUAAUGGCUUUUACUGACUGCAAAAGAUCAGAUUCACAAUCUAUUUAAAAAAAAAAAUAUUUUCUUUAUUUGGCAUGUCAAUCAUUUUAAAAAUCCAUUCAAGUCUAUUUAAAUCUCUUUAACUGUAGUUUGUAUUAUUUCAUUAGGUUGGUCUUUCAAAUUUUGUAAAUAUAUUUUCAACCCAUAAAAUUAUUUCUAAAUAAUCAUAUGACUUGCUCAUAACUACACUAUAUGCAUCUUAAUUUAUGUUAUAAGCUACAGCAUGUUUGUACAUUUUAGCUUUUUUGAAGUGCGCUAUUAUAUUUUAUGGACAUAUUUUAAUUAUUGCAAUAAAAAUGAAAAUCUGUAAAAUUAAAAUCAGUUACAAAGUGGUUUUCAAAAAAGUUACAAUAGCAUGAUAUGCUAUCCUGCUGUCUCUCCUUCCCUAUGGAAAUUGUAAUUGGCUUGGUUGAGCUUUUCUCAAUCCAAAAUUAAAUUAACAGUUUCAAAGUGGUUUCAUUUUAAUUUGCAAAAUCACAUUAAAUUUUGGUGCAGAGUUUAAUUUAGGAAAUUAAAAGCAUGAGGUAUAGUUGACUUGUUUCACUGAGAGGGAAAAUUUGAAUUCACUCUGAAUUCUCAGCAAUUCACACUUCCAUGAAUAAUCCUGACAAAGUUACGGUAAAUAUUACUCUUACUUCAUAUUUGGCACAAAGCACAAACAUUGAUAGUCCGGCUGUCUAAUUUCUAAGAAAAUAGAAAAUUGGAGUCUGGGAGAUUAGGAAAGCAUCAAUUAAUAUUCAGGUAUUACUUCUACUUUUUACUGCCACCUGAUUUAAGUGUCUUGUACUCAGUUUACAGGAAUGUGUAACAUCAUACCAUAAAAAUCAGUAUAAAAAAUAACAACCACAUUUAAAUGUAUUUCUGAAUUAUUAAUGCGGAAAAUGUGAAUCAUGUUAACAAUGAAUCUGUUGAAUAUUGUUGUAGUCAGUUUUUUUGGUGUUUUUUUUGUAUAGAAGAAAAUAGGCACUGCCAGUUUUAAAUUAACGCAUCAAAUUAUUUACAAAAUUCUAAAUAUUAACAUAAAAUUUUUCAGGGUUAUAUACUAUAGUGAAAAUUGUUGGGAUUUCAAAUUGAAAUCAAAGUGAAUUUUAAAUAUACGGUUGUAGUAGCCAAAAUGGAAGCAUAGUUGAAUUGGAAUUUUUUUCCAAUUGGACUAUUUUGGUAUUAAAUUUGAAAUUCCUAACCUUCCGACUUUAGUGCAAAACCUUGUUUGUUUUCCUUGCGGAGUCACCAAGCUAAGUACAAUUCAAUCGAGUGUAUUACAACUGACACUUUUAUGCAGGCUUUGAAAACUGUUAUAAGUAGAUAAUGUGAAUUAGGGAUUGGAAAUAUAAACAGUGGAUUGUCGACUGGAAAUAUAAACAGUUGCUAAAAUGUCAUCCUUCCUAGAUAAAACAAGCUUAGCAAAAUAUUUACCAGUUACAAAUAAAUUGUUGACCUUCUUUGAUAUAAUAAAAUAGCAAGGUCUCUUGAUGAACAGCUAUGUUCUCAGAUUCUACUUGUCUCACUAAUUCACCUCACUCUCAAAAUGAAAUGUCAUUGUAAAGCACAUUUAUUUAAAUAUAUAAAUAAAACUCACAUAAAUAAAAAAAUAAGAAAAUGUUCACUUUAAUCUUAUAUGUUUCUACAAAUUACUAUUCUAUUUCAUCAGAAAUUUAAUUAGUUUUUUUGAAUACCUGAAUGACUUAUACACAGAUAAAAAGCAGAUAUCCUGCAACAUUGUUGGUUGCAGUUAGAAAUUAGACCCCAUUGUGUUGAUUGUAAUAAUAGUGAGGAUAAUAAUAAAAAUUCCAAGUUACUGCCAUGCUUAUUUGGAUCUAUAUUUUUAGUGUUUUUGAUUUUCAUGUAACACAUUUACCAUGUAUAAGAGGCAAUGAGUGAAUCUUUUUUGGAGUUCCUCAUUAAUUCUACAAAUAUUCAGGUUCUGCAUUUUAUAAAUGAGGUCCUGGAAGUAAUCCCUAGUAUUUAAAACAUGAAUUCAGACCAUAGUACAUUGUUCUCUUAUCUGCUCCUGGCAUAGGUAGGCAUAGGCUAGUAAGAGAUAAUAUCAGAUUUUAACAUCCUCUAUUUGACUAGCAUAUCUCAAAUGAAAAUGAGGGUGACUAAUGUGUGCAAUGAGAAGUACUGAAUCUUUGAUACAUGUGAUGGGACACUAGAAGUGGUUGCUUAUCAUCCUGGCCCCUUUGGACUUAGCCACUACUAUACGCCCAGUAAGAAUAAUAGUUACACUACUAUAAUGUGUAAACCCUUUAGACCUGGUUUUGUGAUAAAAGCAAAUAUCAAUUUAUUUUUCUUUCUUAAAAAUGUUAUUACUUGGAAGUAGUGUCGAAAAAAAGUUACUGCCCUGUAUUGCGUAGACACAACUACAAAACUUGUUGGACUUAUAUCCGCAAGACUAUAAUGUGUAAAUGCUUCUUAACCGGUUGUGUAAAAAAAAUCCCUUUUUUAUGAUUUUUGUAUUUUCAAAAUAACUGCUAUUAUUUGGAAAUAGUGAUAAAAAAAACAAACAAUUACUGUCCCUCAUCAUGCGUGGCAUGUGAGAGAAAGUCUGGAAAAGGCAAUUGUCCAAUUUUAGCCCUUUAUAAAAGCAUUUAAACAUCUCUAAUUGUUUAAAUUGUUUAAAUGUUAUUGUUAUUAUUAUUAUUCAUAAUAAUAAGGACAUGAAGGACCCAGGUUCAAAUCCCCUGUCUGGCACCUGGGGGGCGACCAUGCCUGGCCAUCCAGAUUUCACAGUGAUAACCGUUACAGAAGGAAGUUAUGUAGAAGAGGAUAAAGGUCUUGCUGACUGCCUCAAUUAAUAUUUUGUUUAAGCAUGCGUGGGAUAGGCAUAAGGCUAUCCUAACUAUAAGAUAAGGCUAGGGACUAAUGAAAGUAUUUAGAAAAUUGGGCAGACUAGAUGGGCCGAAUGGUUCUUAUCUGCCGUCACAUUCUAUGUUUCUAUGUUUCUAUGUAUUCCAGUCAACAUUGUCUGUAUCAUUUUGUAAUUAGUUCAAAGCAUUAUUUUAGGUUGAAAUACAUUUUUUAUGUUUGUUUGCAGGUUUAGGUAAAAGUUGUGGAAGAAAACUGGAAUCCAGAGAAGUUGUAAAAAACAAAAAUAAAACAAAAAUUCACCCCCUCCCCAAAACAGCAAAGAAGCAGAAAAAAUAU